rnacentral:lncRNA from 1 species
GUUUUUUUUGUAUCCCGCAUCAAUCAAUAUGACGAGACACCUUUAGUAUAUGCAGUGCGAUAUUAGUUGCAUCUUUCAUAUGAUUUAUUAGCAUGCGCUGCUUCUAAUUUGUUGAAAUUCCAUUUAUGAUGGGACGCUUUUAACUUGGCAGAGUCAUAUUGGUUGCAUCUUUCAUGUGGUGUCUAGCUUGCAUUGCUUCUUAUUUGCUGGAAUGGUUUCUGCUUAGUUUACACAAAUAGUUGUGAACAUUCCAUGCCAUCCUAUUUUUCGUACAUAUUCCAUCCUGGUAUCAUGUGUUUGCCUUACAUCAAAAUACUGAUUGUCAGUAUCAUGCAUGAAUGAGUUCUGAAGAGAGAAUUUUAUUGCUUUUUCUUGUCGGUUUUACUUGACAAUUCAAGAUCAAUAAAGCGGAAGGAAGUUAGCAAGGCAGCGGAUAAAGGUGCUCCUUCCGAACGCAUGGCCUCUACAGUUUCUACUCCUCCACACCCCCAAGAUGAUUUCCAAGACAACACGUGCAUAGACACUCAACAAUGAUGUGUUUAUGAUGAGCACGUCUCCCCUAGUGCAGCAUCACCGGUGCUCCCUCUAACUUGGCACUAUUAUAUGUGGUUGAAUGUUAUGUGUGAUGUCUAGCUUGUAUUGCUUCUAAUUUUCUUGAAUUCCAUCUGCUUACUUUACACAUUAUACUUGAAUAACACACAUGUUCCUGUUUCUAGAACAUACAAUAUUUGUCUAUCACACCAUGUUCUUACAUCAAAUUACUACUAUUGUGUAACCUGCAACAAUCACUUAUCAUAAGACAUGUUUGACUUUGGAGUGUGAUAUAGGUUACAUCUCACAUUCUUUUCUAGCUUGUACUACUAAUUUGUUGAAAUGGCACUUAUGACGAGACAGUUUUAACUUGGUAGAGUGAUAUUCAUUGCAUCUUUCAUAUGGUGUCUAGAUUUCAUUGCUUCUAGUUUGUUGAAAUGCCUUCUCCUUAGUUUACACAUCAUAAGCUGUGAAUAUGCAAUGUUGUGAAUAUGCAAUGGCACUAAUGACGAGAGACCUCUAACAUGGUAGUGUGAUGUUGUUUGCAUCUUGCACAUGAUUUAUUUCUUGUACUGCUUCACAUUUGUUUAAACGCCAUUUAUGAUGAGACACUGUUAACUUGGUAGAGAGAUAUUUGUAGCAUCUUUCAUAUGGUGUCUACCUUCCAUUGCAUUGCUUCGAAUUUGGUGAAAUGUCUUCUUCUUAGUUUACACAUUAUAGUUCUGGUUAUCUCUUCCAUCCUGUUUUUCAUACAUAUUACAUCCUCCUAUCAUGCGGUUGUCUAACAUCAAAGUUUAGUUCGUCUGCAUCACGCAUCAAUUUGUUCUGAAGAACUAAAUUGUUAUUCGUUUUUCUUGUCGGCUUGACUUAACAUGGCACAGAGAAAGAGGAAGAAACAUAGAAUGACAGGGAAUGAGAAGCGGAUGAAUACUGCAGAUUCUGCUGGUACUGAUGGUGCAAUAGAAGGUCAAAGUCCAGCGGAAAAUUCUACAAACACGGCAUCCCAUGCUACACGAGUUGCAAAAAAGCCAAACAGAAAUAAAUAGCUGCCACCAAACAAGCAGAGACAGCCCUAGUUCUUGCAACACCUACCAUAGUACUACCAGCUGCAUGACUUACUCGUGCGUCAACUGAGCUAGCAGCACGUUCCCAAGCUCCCUUGCCAUCUGGCACUACUUCCCAAGCACUCUUGACACAAGACGAGUUGGCAAUAUCAGAUGAACCUUGUGAGCUUCAACAACAAGAAGGUAGUUGUUGGAGUCAAGUUACAGUUGCAUGCUUCUUUGUAUGUAGUCUCACAGUUUGAUGUACACUAACACUUCCUAUGUUCGUUGUUGUACUAGCACCUAGGCGCAAGAGGAAACAAACAUCAGGGAUAAUGCUCGAUAGGUUAACUAAAUCUAGAGGAGGAAGAAUUGAGAUCCGUUUUGAGGCAGGUUUAAAAAGGCCACGUGAUGCUAUAGAGUCAACCAAGUUAGUAUCAGAGGCAGCGGUUGCCAUUAGGUGUCAUGUACGUAUCCUCCCAACAUGGAUUCAGUACAGGAAUGACAAAGACGAAACCCAGUUCAACACCUUCCUCGACCAUUUAUCUCUAAGUAUGGUUAUGUAUGGAAACUAGUAAUAUCGUCUUGCUCUGUCCCAUACUUUCUAGGUUGCUGAUAAUGAGACUCCCAUAAUUUUCAACAGAUGAGGUUCAAGUUGGAUAGCCAAGAUGAUGCAACCACACAAGCUUGCACCCAUGUUUUAAAGUCUGCUCUGCGACAGUAUCAGUAUAACUUGAGGAAAACUCACUUUGAAGGCAAGGCUAACAGUGAACUUUCCCAAACAUCUCCACUGGAAAAUAUAUCGGAUGAAGACUGGAGGGGCCUUGUUAAACACUGGUCUGAUCCGAAGUAUCAGGUACAUUAUAUAUAUGUGAUCAGAUCACAUGUUGAAGUCCUAUUUACGCAUGUGCCACACAAAUCUAUCUUCUUGUAGGUGAACUGUUCAAAGAACAAGUCCAACCAUACGAAAGUGAAAUUCCAACAGACGACAGGAUCUCGUUGCCAUAUUGCACACUGCGAGGCUCUUGUAAUUAGCUGUUGUUUCACUCUUUUCACUGUACCAUAUUAUCAGAUCUAUAUUAACUUGUUCAAAAUGCAGAGGAAAGCCUGCAAGGACCAAAAAGUACCUGAACCAAAUGUUGUAGGAAUCUUCAAGGACUGUCACACCAGGAAGAAGAAGGGCAUGACUACACCAGUCAAAGCCGUUGUUGUAUGUCCUUAAUCCUCAUGCCUUUUAACUACUACUUACUCUGACUUGUGCCUUGAACUGCAUGGUUUGGAGCCAAUGUCUAUUACUAUUUUCAAUUUUAUACACAAUUGUCUUAGCGUAUCAUUACACCUUACAAGGUUUAAAAGAGAGGAGUGAUGUUCCUUUGAUCUUGACCCGUAAUCUAGUUCCAUGCUGGACUUGCCCACACAACGUUACAAUUGCAUGUGUGUCUGUUCUCAGUUGUUUUGUGAUAUGAAUGAUGUCAUACUAUGCUUACCGUAUUAUAAACUUUGUCUCUUUAUCCUUAGCCCUCAAUACAAUGUGAAGAAACAAUACAUUAGCGAUGGUACAUGGUCAUAUGUUUGGAACCUGGUUUUAUUAUGUACUUUGCAAUAAAAUUCAACUAAUAUUUUACAUGGGUUCACCAGAAUAAGUUCUGUAUAUAGACCAAAGCUAUUUUGUUUGGUUUUGCUGCCUCCUUAAUAUCUUCUGUUCUGGUACUACUAAUGUAAAACCUCAACUUUUCAGCAAGCAAUGGAAAAAAUGGUGGAACUGCCACCUUCUGAAGGUGGCGAGGCAACUAUAACCGCAAUGUCAGCUCUUGCUGCAGUGGGUCGGUACCUGUCCACUAACAGUGCCAAAAGCACGUUCCUGCGUAAUACUGGGUUGGUUGUUAAGGCAAUAUCGUCCAAACUGCCUCAUGAUCAAGAUAUGCAAGCUCAAAGCAAUGUUGUAUCUGCGCUCCAGACACAAGUCCAUUCCCUAAUAGAGACCCUUUGUGAAACAAGGAGAAACAUUGCUCAAUGUCGUCAAGAUAUGCAUGGUUUUGAAACCAGACUAUCAGACAUUUGCUAUGUUGUUCAGGAGCCUAGGCGAAAUGAAGGCGAGUGUUAUGGUGCUCCAUCGGACAAUGGAGCAUGAAAACUUAAUAGUCAGGUCAAAUGAACUGAGCUUCUGAACUUCUGGUGGUGCAUUUAUCUGCUAGACUGUUAAGUUUUACGCCAACCUUCCUUUUGUUAUAUAGUUGUAAUUUGUUUUGGAGCGAUACAAAAUUUAUUCUUAACGUGCAGCCACUGGCUGAAGAAAACAGCAAGCCAUUUUUGUAUAGUGUAGGGUGUUCCCUAUAUUUGCACUAGUGGCGAUCUUUGAUGCCGAGUGGAUGUAAUCUAUGCAAUCGCCUUAAUAGCCUAGCAUUAGUUUCGGCCUUAUUUAUUUCCUAGUCUUCUUUUUCCCUAGUUUGCUAGUGGCCGCAACUACCAUGGGCCAUAUACGGGCCAUAGGAUCCAUGGGUCUCCUACGGAUCGUCGAUAAAUGGGCCUGUAGUCGGUGGGCCUCGGGCCAUCGAUAAAUGGGCCUGUAGUCGGUGGGCCUCGGGCCAUCGAUAAAUGGGCCUAUAAUCGGUGGGCCUCGGGCCGUCGGAUAAAUGGGUCUACACGGGCCGUAAUCGGGCGUAAUUGGUAUCGGCCCAGGACGGUAACGGGCCGUUAACAGGCCGUAGGACAGCAAAGGCUUAAUUCUGUCACAGGCAUAACAGGUCAUUAAUGGGCCAGAAUAUAGGACGGGCUAGAAACGGCGCAAUGGGUUAAGAGGCCAGAAACGGGCCGACUCUUGCCAUGGGCCGAAUUUGGCCCAUUAGGGUAAUAGGCCAGUAACGGGCCGACUCUUGCCAUGGGCCGAAUUUGGCCCAUUAGGGGAACACGCCAGUAACGGGCCAACUAUUGCCAUGGGCCGAAUUUGGCCCAUUAGGGGAAUAGGCCAGUAACGGGCCGAAAGUAAUCGAGGGCCGAAAAGGAGCCCAAGAACGUAUGGGCCGUCAAUAGGCCGAAAUCUAACAUGGGCUGGAAAUGGCCCAUGUAAAUCACGGGCCGUCAAUGGGUACAAAGAAAAUUACUGUUCAUUAUGGGCUAGAGUCACCGUGGGCCUGUAAAGGGCCGAAAGAUACGAAGGCCUCAUAUGGGCCGAAAGACGUCGUGGGCCAUACAUGGGCCGCAAGUGAAAUGGGCUGGUGUUAUAUUCGUCGUGGGCCAUACAUGAUGUUGUUGGGCUGAUUUCCUUUAGGGCCUAACGGGCCGUGAGUUAAUGCGCCAUAAAAUGGGCUAUUUGCGAAGAGACCGUUAACAAGCUUUUCAUGGGCCAGCCCGUUAACUUUUGACCAAGUCAAACGGGCCGGCUUUCUAAGCUAAAUGGGCCAGUGGUGGGGCGUGCCACAUGUCAACAUAUCAUAGGCGCCUAUCUGACCCACUGACGAGCUGACACGUGUUUUGUCCGGCCAAUAAGAAUUUUACACGUGGAAAUUUCCCAUUGGUCGGGGCUGUUAACGGGUUAUCGGAUCCAAAAAUCGACCCGAUAGCUUAACGGUGUUCCGUUACAGUGGAUGCCACGUGUCGGUCACCCUUGACGAAAGCACUUUUGUGAUGCGCGAUUUAUCGUCAUGGAAGUGGACACUUCCAUGAUGAUAAUUUUGGUAAUGUCAUGGAACACUUCUACGAUAGCACAGGUAUGACUAUCUUGGUUCUGUCAUAAAAUCGUCAUGGAUGUACAUGCAUGACAAAAAACGCGACCUACCACUACUACGGAAAAGCCUAGCAGCAGCGCGGGUUUUAGGCCUAUUAGUAGCACGGGAUGGAGCGCUACUGAUAAGGCGCUACAGCUAAUGAUUAGCAAUAGCGCGCCUAGACCCACGCUACUGCUAAAUUGACUUAGUAGUAGCGCUUCUUCAGAACAGUGGUACUGUUAAUUGGUAGUAGUGCUUCUCCUUUCCCGCGCUACUACUAUUAUUUAGUAUUUUAUUUCUUUUUUAUUUCAUGUUGUAUUCAUACACCUUUACACAAGUUUUCAUACAACAGGAAUUUAGAGAUUGUUUUUACAUCAUAAUGAGUUAUUACAUCAUGGGAUGAAAGAACCGUGGACUAGUUUCAAGUGGAUGUCCAUCCACUUGAAACUAAUCCGCGGUUCUUUCACCCAAUGAUAUAAUAAUAUCAUCAUCAUCAUCAUAUCAUUAACAACUUAUCAUCAUAAUACAUCAUUGUCAUAUAACACCUCCUCAAGAUCAUCGUUUUCAUCAAUGACAUCACAUAGCAAAUUGGUCACUAGUCGUAAUCACAAGUACUCCUCAUUAUCAACUCUAACACAUUACCACAUAAUAAACAUAUUGUACCUCAUAGGACCUAUUAAAUUCGAUUAAGACCUACUACAUUUUCUAAGGUAAAAUAGCAAAAAACAAGAUAGCCCCUGACUCUCCAUUAUGGAGAAUGGAGAUUAGCCUGUCUCCAAUUCUUGCCUUUCGCUGAAUGUUACUUCCAAGAAUCUCCUUGCGAAUGUCCAUACAUUUCUUCCAUUCUUUGAUGAACAUGUGUUCACGGGUUUUAGAAAUCCGAUAUGCAUAGGUGAGCUCCGUAGAUUUACCUGGCAGUAUGUUCAGGACUGAGAGGCGACCAUGCAAAGACAUCAGAUGAGGCACACAAUCCAUCAGGAGUUUCUGUUGAAAAACAUAAUAAUAACUUUGUAGUUAGCAAUGAUGUACUAGUUUUAGAAGUAUGCAAAAGAUGCACGGAUGUCAUAAUAGUAAAAAAUCUUACCAGGGUAUCUCCAGAGAAGUUACCGUGGUUCAACACAUGCACUAGUGGCACGUAUUCACCAUAAUUUGGAGGAGUUCGAUAAUAGUUAUUGUAAUUCUCAAGAAGAGUACAAAAUGAUAUCAGAUGAUUUUUCUCCUUAUACGUUAAUUCAGUGCCAUCGGUGUAGUGGGUUUUAUCUACCAUCUUCCGCACAGUCUUUGAAGAAUCAAAAUAAGCUGUCAAUGGAGAUGAGCUAUCAACUAUUUUGAAAUAAACAAUAUAAAUUAGUUCAUAACUAUGUUUGAGAAACUCACAUAGCGGUAAAAUCGGAAGCGUAUCAACAAGGACCCAAAUGUCCAUAUUGUCUUGCUCGAUGUUAGGAUCACCAAGAUCCAUGGUGACAAUCAUACCCUCAUAAAAACCAUACAUUUUGCAAAGUGCUUCCCAAUUUUGGCAACCAAAAUGGGUUACGCUCUGAGCAUUGCACAGAUUUACUUCAAAAUCCAUAUCAUGAUGGGUCCUUAGGUGUUGAAUUGAUAUGAAAAUUAGAUGUUGAAAUAGUUGAAGUCAUGCUUAAUUAUGAAAAAACACUUUUCGUUGUUGCGUACCGUUUCACAAUCAAAGGUCUCCUCGAGCUUAAUGGUGAAGCGCCGAUCUUCGUCCAGCCGAAUGAACCUGUCGCACAUACCUCGAUCGUCGUGGCACCAGCUACACUCCCCCGGGAGACUGUCGUCAUCCGAGUACGACAUUUCCUACAUUCAUAAUUCAAAGAUUAAACUUGUACAUAUUCUAGCACAAGUCAUGCCAGAAUUCACGAAAAAAUCCGGAUGACCUUUGCUAAAAAAGCACAUAUCGAGCGCCUGAAAUUUGCCGGAACAGAAAUUAAUCAACACUUCGGCAAAACAUAGGCCACUUGGGCAACCACAUAUCCUAUUUGAGCAACAACACAAGAUAUACAAGGAUAUUUGGCUGGUCUCACCUCGAUGCCGGAGGGGGUCGGUGACUGGGACGACGGUGGGGAUGUCGGAGGGGGUCGGUGACGGGGACGACGGUGGUCACCUGAAACCAUAUAAGUUAUCACUAAUACAUCCCUAAUAAUUUCUUAAACUAAAAAAUAACAACAAAUAUGACAUGUUCAACUAGUUUUAUUAAUUCAACUAGUACUUACUAAAUAUAGACUUACUAUAAAUAGAAAAAAAACUAGUUCUUUCUAAAAAUAAAGUAGUUCAACUAGUUAUAUUAAUUAUCUUACUAAAAAUACAUUAGUUCUAUUAAUUCAACUAGUUCAACUAGUUUAUUAAUUUACUUACUAAACUAGUUCAACUAAAACUAAAGUAGUUCAACUACAACUACUACUACUAAAAAUCUAGUACUAAGUAAGCAACAUUUAGUACUAGCUAUGAACCCUAAAUUAACAUCUACUACUACUAAAUCUAGUACUAACUAGUGGCAGGAGGUGGGGGCGAUGGAGAGGUAGCUAGGGGCGGCGAGGUCGAGGGCGGUGGGAGGAGGGCUGCCGGCAGAGGAGGGAGGAGGGGCGGCCGCAGGCGGAGGGAGGAGGGUGGCGGCGGAGGAGGGAGGGGCCGCCACAGGCGGAGGGAGGAGGGAGGAGGAGGUAGGAGGGACGGAAGGAGGGGAGUACCUCGGCGGCGGACGGACGAAGGCGGCGGCGGCGGCGACGACGCACGACGACGGUUAUCGGCACGCGGGCGAGAGUGAGAGUGUGAGUGAGGGCCGGUCGUGUGCGUGGGGAUAAGGUAGGGAUAGUUGUAGCGCGUUCGCCAAAACGCGCUACAGCUAAUUGAAGGAAAUAUGCCCUAGAGGCAAUAAUAAAGUUAUUAUUUAUUUCCUUAUAUCAUGAUAAAUGUUUAUUAUUCAUGCUAGAAUUGUAUUAACCGGAAACAUAAUACAUGUGUGAAUACAUAGACAAACAUAGUGUCACUAGUAUGCCUCUACUUGACUAGCUCAUUAAUCAAAGAUGGUUAUGUUUCCUAACCAUAGACAUGUGUUGUCAUUUGAUUAACGGGAUCACAUCAUUAGGAGAAUGAUGUGAUUGACAUGACCCAUUCCGUUAGCCUAGAACUUGAUCGUUUAGUAUAUUGCUAUUGCUUUCUUCAUGACUUAUACAUGUUCCUGUAACUAUGAGAUUAUCCAACUCCCGUUUACCGGAGGAACACUUUGUGUGCUACCAAACAUCACAACGUAACUGGGUGAUUAUAAAGGAGCUCUACAGGUGUCUCUGAAGGUACAUGUUGGGUUGGCGUAUUUCGAGAUUAGGUUUUCUCACUCCAAUUGUCGGAGAGGUAUCUCUGGGCCGUCUCGGUAAUGCACAUCACUAUAAGCCUUGCAAGCAAUGUAGCUAAUGAGUUAUUUACAGAAUGAUGCAUUACGUAACGAGUAAAGAGACUUGCCGGUAACGAGAUUGAACUAGGUAUUGGAUACCGACGAUCGAAUCUCGGGAAAGUAACAUACCGAUGACAAAGGGAACAACGUAUGUUGUUAUGCGGUUUGACCGAUAAAGAUCUUCAUAGAAUAUGUAGGAGCCAAUAUGAGCAUCUAGGUUCCGCUAUUGGUUAUUGACCGAGAAUAGUUCUAGGUCAUGUCUACAUAGUUCUCGAACCCAUAGGGUCCGCACGCUUAACGUUACGAUGACAGUUUAUUAUGAGUUUAUAAGUUUUGAUGUACCAAAGAUUGUUCAGAGUCCCGGAUGUGAUCACGGACAUGACGAGGAGUCUCGAAAUGGUCGAGACAUAAAGAUUGAUAUAUUGGACGGCUAUAUUCGGACACCGGAAGUGUUCUGGGUGAUUUCGGAGAAAACCGGAGUGCCGGAGGGGUUACCGGAACCCCCCGGGGAAGUAUUGGGCCUUAGUGGGCCUGAGGGGAGAGAGAGGGCAGCAGCCCAGGAGGUGGCGCGCCCCCUCCCAUGGGGAGUUCGAAUUGGACUAGGGGAGGGGGCGCGGCCCCUCUUUCCCUCUCCCUCUCCCUCUCUUUCCUUCCCCCUUCCUCCUUCCUAGUUGGACUAGGAAAGGGGAGUCCUACUCCCACUAGGAGGAGGACUCCCCCCUCCUUGGCGCGCCCCCUAGGGUCGGCCGGCCUCCCCCCUUGCUCCUUUAUAUACGGGGGCAGGGGGGCACCCUAGAACACACAAGUUGAUCUUCAUGAUCGUUCCUUAGCCGUGUGCGGUGCCCCCCCUCCACCAUAUUCCACCUCGGUCAUAUCGUUGCAGUGCUUAGGAGAAGCCCUGCGUCGGUAGAACAUCAUCAUCAUCACCACGCCAUCGUGCUGACUGAACUCAUCCCCGACGCUCUGCUGGAUCGGAGCCCGGAGAUCGUCAUCGAGCUGAACGUGUGCUAAACUCGGAGGUGCCGUACGUUCGGUGCUUGGAUCGGUCGGAUCGUGAAGACGUACGACUACAUCAACCGCGUUGUCAUAACGCUUCCGCUUACGGUCUACGAGGGUACGUAGACAGUACUCUCCCCUCUCGUUGCUAUGCAUCACCAUGAUCUUGUGUGUGCGUAGGAAAUUUUUUGAAAUUACUACGUUCCCCAACAGUGGCAUCUGAGCCAUGUUUUAUGCGUAGAUGUCAUAUGCACGAGUAGAACACAAGUGAGUUGUGGGCGAUACAAGUCAUACUGCUUACCAGCAUGUCAUACUUUGGCGCAGCGGUAUUGUGAGAUGAAGCGGCCCGGACCGACAUUACGCGUACGCUUACGCGAGACUGGUUUCACCGUUACGAGCACUCGUGCUUAAAGGUGACUGGCGGGUGUCUGUCUCUCUCACUUUAGCUGAAUCGAGUGUGGAUACGCCCGAUCCUAGCGAAGGUUAAAACAGCACCAACUUGACAAACUAUCGUUGUGGUUUUGAUGCAUAGGUAAGAACGAUUCUUGCUCAACCCGUAGCAGCCACGUAAAAUUUGCAACAACAAAGUAGAGGACGUCUAACUUGUUUUUGCAGGGCAUGUUGUGAUGUGAUAUGGUCAAGACGUGAUGCUAUAUUUUAUUGUAUGAGAUGAUCAUGUUUUGUAACCGAAGUUAUCGGCAACUGGCAGGAGCCAUAUGGUUGUCGCUUUAUUGUAUGAAAUGCAAACGCCCUGUAAUUGCUUUACUUUAUCACUAAGCGGUAGCGAUAGUCGUAGAAGCAAUAGAUGGCGUAACGACAACGAUGCUACGAUGGAGAUCAAGGUGUCGCGCUAGUGACGAUGGUGAUCAUGACGGUGCUUCGAAGAUGGAGAUCACAAGCACAAGAUGAUGAUGGCCAUAUCAUAUCACUUAUAUUGAUUGCAUGUGAUGUUUAUCCUUUAUGCAUCUUAUCUUGCUUUGAUUGACGGUAGCAUUUUAAGAUGAUCUCUCACUAAAAUUAUCAAGAAGUGUUCUCCCUGAGUAUGCACCGUUGCGAAAGUUCUUCGUGCUGAGACACCAUGUGAUGAUCGGGUGUGAUAGGCUCUACGUUCAAAUACAAAGGGUGCAAAACAGUUGCACACGCGGAAUACUCAGGUUAAACUUGACGAGCCUAGCAUAUAACAGAUAUGGCCUCGGAGCACGGAGACCGAAAGGUCGAGCGUGAAUCAUAUAGUAGAUAUGAUCAACAUAUUGAUGUUCACCAUUGAAACUACUCCAUCUCACGUGACGAUCGGACAUGGUGUAGUUGAUAUGGAUCACGUAAUCACUUAGAGGAUUAGAGGGAUGUCUAUCUAAGUGGGAGUUCUUUAGUAAUAUGAUUAGUUGAACUUAAAUUUAUCAUGAACUUAGUACCUGAUAGUAUUUUGCUUGUCUAUGUUUGUUGUAGAUAGAUGGCUCGUGUUGUUGUUCCGUUGAAUUUUAAUGCGUUCCUUGAGAAAGCAAAGUUGAAAGAUGAUGGUAGAAAUUACACGGACUGGGUCCGUAACCUGAGGAUUAUCCUCAUUGCUGCAUAGAAGAAUUACGUCCUAGAAGAACCGCUGGGUGCCAAGCCUGCUGCUGAUGCAACUUACGAUGUUAAGAACGUCUGGCAGAGCAAAGCUGAUGACUACUCGAUAGUUCAGUGUGCCAUGCUUUACGGCUUAGAACCGGGUCUUCAACGACGUUUUGAACGUCAUGGAGCAUAUGAGAUGUUCCAGGAGUUGAAGUUAAUAUUUCAAGCAAAUGCCCGGAUUGAAAGAUAUGAAGUCUCCAAUAAGUUCUAUAGCUGCAAGAUGGAGGAGAAUAGUUCUGUCAGUGAACACAUACUCAAAAUGUCGUGGUAUAAUAAUCACUUGAUUCAACUGGGAGUUAAUCUUCCUGAUGAUAGUGUCAUUGAUAGAAUUCUCCAAUCACUGCCACCAAGCUAUAAGAGCUUCGUGAUGAACUAUAAUAUGCAAGGGAUGGAUAAGACUAUUCCCGAGCUCUUCCCAAUGCUAAAAGUUGCGAAGGUAGAAAUCAAAAAGGACCAUCAAGUGUUGAUGGUCAACAAGACCACCAGUUUCAAGAAAAAGGGCAAAGGGAAGAAGAAGGGGAACUUCAAGAAGAACAGCAAACAAGUUGCUGCUCAAGAGAAGAAACCCAAGUCUGGUCCUAAGCCCGAGACUGAGUGCUUCUACUGCAAGCAGACUGGACACUGGAAGCGGAACUGCCCCAAGUAUUUGGCGGAUAAGAAGGAUGGCAAAGUGAACAAAGGUAUAUGUGAUAUACAUGUUAUUGAUGUGUACCUUACUAAUGCUCGCAGUAGUACCUGGGUAUUUAAUACUGGUUCUGUUGCUAAUAUUUGCAACUCGAAACAGGGACUAUGGAUUAAGCAAAGAUUGGCUAAGGAUGAGGUGACUAUGCGCGUGGGAAAUGGUUCCAAAGUCGAUGUGAUCGCGGUCGGCACGCUACCUCUACAUCUACCAUCGGGAUUAGUUUUAGACCUGAAUAAUUGUUAUUUGGUGCCAGCGUUGAGCACGAACAUUAUAUCUGGAUCUUGUUUGAUGCGAGACGGUUAUUCAUUUAAAUCAGAGAAUAAUGGUUGUUCUAUUUAUAUGAGUAAUAUAUUUUAUGGUCAUGCACCCUUGAAGAGUGGUCUAUUUUUAUUGAAUCUCGAUAGUAGUGAUACACAUAUUCAUAGUGUUGAAACCAAAAGAUGCAGAGUUGAUAAUGAUAGUGCAACUUAUUUGUGGCACUGCCGUUUAGGUCAUAUCGGUAUAAAGCGCAUGAAGAAACUCCAUACUGAUGGACUUUUGGAAUCACUUGAUUAUGAAUCACUUGGUACUUGCGAACCGUGCCUCAUAGGCAAGAUGACUAAAACGCCGUUCUACGGAACUAUGGAGCGAGCAACUGAUUUGUUGGAAAUCAUACAUACUGAUGUUUGUGGUCCAAUGAAUGUUGAGGCUCGCGGCGGGUAUCGUUAUUUUCUCACCUUCACAGAUGAUUUGAGCAGAUAUGGGUAUAUCUACUUAAUGAAACACAAGUCUGAAACAUUUGAAAAGUUCAAAGAAUUUCAGAGUGAAGUGGAAAAUCAUCGUAACAAGAAAAUAAAAUUUCUAUGAUCUGAUCAUGGAGGAGAAUAUUUGAGUUACGAGUUUGGUUUACAUUUGAAACAAUGCGGAAUAGUUUCGCAACUCACGCCACCCGGAACACCACAACGAAAUGGUGUGUCCGAACGUCAUAAUCGUACUUUACUAGAUAUGGUGCGACCUAUGAUGUCUCUUACUGAUUUACCGCUAUCGUUUUGGGGUUAUGCUUUAGAGACGGCCGCAUUCACGUUAAAUAGUGCACCAUCAAAAUCCGUUGAGACGACACCUCAUGAACUGUGGUUUGGCAAGAAACCAAAGUUGUCGUUUCUUAAAGUUUGGGGCUGCGAUGCUUAUGUGAAGAAACUUCAACCAGAUAAGCUUGAACCCAAAUCGGAGAAAUGUGUCUUCAUAGGAUACCCAAAAGAGACUGUUGGGUACACCUUCUAUCACAGAUCUGAAGGCAAGAUUUUGUUGCUAAAAUGGAUCCUUUCUAGAGAAGAAGUUUCUCUCGAAAGAAGUGAGUGGGAGGAAAGUAGAUCUUGAUAAGGUAAUUUGUACCUUCUCCCGAAUUGGAAAGUAGUUCAUCACAUAAAUCAGUUCCAGUGAUUCCUACACCAAUUAGUGAGGAAGCUAAUGAUGAUGAUCAUGAAACUUCAGAUCAAGUUACUACCAAACUUUGUAGAUCUUCUAGAUUAAGAUCCGCACCAGAGUGAUCAAAGAAAGACCUCAGUGAAGCUGCUUACACAUUGAGCAUCAAGAUCUAUAUAGAUAGAUCAAGACGCUUGAUAAGAUUUUUCAAUGAGUACAUACCUUGAUAAAUUUUUGAAAUAGUUCAAAAUGGAACAGUCAAAGAAGGAGUUCUUGCCUGUGUUGCAAGGUGUGAAGUUGAGUAAGACUCAAGACCGGACCAUGGCAGAAAAUAGAAAGAGAAUGAAAAGUCAUUCCCUAUGCCUCAGUCAUAGGUUCUAUAAAGUAUGCUUGUUGUGCACCAGACCUAUUAUAUACCUUGCUCUGAGUUUGACAAAGGAAUACAAUUUUGAUCUAAGAGUAGAUCACUGGACAGCAGUCAAGAAUAUCCUUAGUGAGGACUAAGGAGAUGUUUCUCUAUUAUGGAGGUGACAAAAGAGCCCGUUGUAAAAGUUACAACGCUGCAAGCUUUUACACCAAUCCAGAUGACUCUAAGUCUCAAUCUGGAUACAUAUUGAAAGUGGGAGCAAUUAGCUAGAGUAGCUCCGUGCAGAGCAUUGUGGACAUAGAAUAUUUGCAAAAUACAUACGGCUCUGAAUAUGACAGACCCGUUGACUAAACUUCUCUCACAAGAAAAACGUGAUCAUACCUUAGUACUCUUUGGGUGUUAAUCACAUAGGAAUGUGAACUAGAUUAUUGACUCUAGUAAAUCCUUUGGGUUUUGAUCACAUGAUGAUGUGAACUAUGGGUAUUAAUCACAUACAGAUGUGAAUAUUGGUGCUAAAUCACAUGGCGAUGUGAACUAGAUUAUUGACUCUAGUGCAAGUGGGAGACUGAAGGAAAUAUGCCCUAGAGGCAAUAAUAAAGUUAUUAUUUAUUUCCUUAUAUCAUGAUAAAUGUUUAUUAUUCAUGCUAGAAUUGUAUUGACCGGAAACAUAAUACAUGUGUGAAUACAUAGACAAACAUAGUGUCACUAGUAUGCCUCUACUUGACUAGCUCAUUAAUCAAAGAUGGUUAUGUUUCCUAACCAUAGACAUGUGUUGUCAUUUGAUUAACAGGAUCACAUCAUUAGGAGAAUGGUGUGAUUGACAUGACCCAUUCCCUUAGCCUAGCACUUGAUCGUUUAGUAUAUUGCUAUUGCUUUCUUCAUGACUUAUACAUGUUCCUGUAACUAUGAGAUUAUGCAACUCCCGUUUACCGGAGGAACACUUUGUGUGCUACCAAACUUCACAACGUAACUGGGUGAUAAUAAAGCAGCUCUACAGGUGUCACCGAAGGUAAAUGUUGGGUUGGCGUAUUUCGAGAUUAGGUUUUGUCACUCCGAUUGUCGGAGAGGUAUCUCUGGGCCCUCUCGGUAAUGCACAUCACUAUAAGCCUUGCAAGCAAUGUAGCUAAUGAGUUAGUUACGGAAUGAUGCAUUACGUAACUAGUAAAGAGACUUGCCGGUAACGAGAUUGAACUAGGUAUUGGAUACCGACGAUCGAAUCUCGGGCAAGUAACAUACCGAUGACAAAGGGAACAAUGUAUGUUGUUAUGCGGUUUGACCAAUAAAGAUCUUCGUAGAAUAUGUAGGAGCCAAUAUGAGCAUCCAGGUUCCGCUAUUGGUUAUUGACCGAGAAUAUUUCUAGGUCAUGUCUACAUAGUUCUCGAACCCAUAGGGUCCACACGCUUAACGUUACGAUGAUAGUUUGUUAUGAGUUUAUAAGUUUUGAUGUACCGAAGAUUGUUCGGAGUCCCGGAUGUGAUCACGGACAUGACGAGGAGUCUCGAAAUGGUCGAGACAUAAAGAUUGAUAUAUUGGACGGCUAUAUUCGGACACCGAAAGUGUUCCGGAUGAUUUCGGAGAAAACCGGAGUGCCGGAGGGGUUACCGGAACCCCCCGGGGAAGUAUUGGGCCUUAGUGGGCCUGAGGGGAGAGAGAGGGCAGCAGCCCAGGAGGUGGCGCGCCCCCUCCCAUGGGGAGUCCGAAUUGGACUAGGGGAGGGGGCGCAGCCCCUCUUUCCCUCUCCCUCUCCCUCUCUUUCCUUCCCCCUUCCUCCUUCCUAGUUGGACUAGGAAAGGGGAGUCCUACUCCCACUAGGAGGAGGACUCCCCCCUCCUUGGCGCGCCCCCUAGGGCCGGCCGGCCUCCCCCCUUGCUCCUUUAUAUACGGGGGCAGGGGGCACCCUAGAACACACAAGUUGAUCUUCGUGAUCGUUCCUUAGCCGUGUGCGUUGCCCCCCUCCACCAUAUUCCACCUCGGUCAUAUCGUUGUGGUGCUUAGGCGAAGCCCUGCGUCGGUAGAACAUCAUCAUCGUCACCACGCCGUCGUGCUGACGGAACUCAUCCCCGACGCUCUGCUGGAUCGGAGCCCGGAGAUCGUCAUCGAGCUGAACGUGUGCUGAACUCGGAGGUGCCGUAUGUUCGGUGCUUGGAUCGGUCGGAUCAUGAAGACGUACGACUACAUCAACCGCGUUGUCAUAACGCUUUCGCUUACAGUCUACGAGGGUACAUAGACAAUACUCUCCCCUCUCGUUGCUAUGCAUCACCAUGAUCUUGCGUGUGCGUAGGAAAUUUUUUGAAAUUACUACGUUCCCCAACACUAAUCUGAAUAGCACUAGUGCUUUGCAUGUAAACCGCUACUGCUAAGUGUAACUAUACAAAAAAUAUGUCAAUGCAAAAAUACAUUGGCCAUCAAUGAUCUUUUUGUGUACAAUCUGAAUUGUCAAUAUGCGUCCCCUCCGGUAGGAACCGGAGAGGACUCAUAUUGCGGCCACAAAUUUUACACAUAGAGUUCAGUGAAGACCAACUGGUUGUGGUAGUUUCAGAAAUAACAUAUUUAAGGUGGUAAACACCCUGUUCACGGAGCGAGGUGGGACUAAACUUGUGGGCUGAUCUUAGCAGUAGCGGUUUUCCUAGAAGCGCGCUGCUGCUAACUUCUAUAGCAGCAGCGCUGUUCAGGACAGCGCGCUACUGCUAUAACUAGCGGGGGGCGAGGUCAUGGCAAUUAUAGCAGUUGCGCGGUUUGUGGUGGACGCGCUACUGCUAUUUUCCUGUCAGCAGCGCGUUUUGGUUAAACGCGCUGCUGCUAAAUAGCAGUAGCGUGGUAUUUUGAGGAGCGCUGCUGGUAAGAUUCUGUGUAUAGGCUUUUCCCUAGUAGUGUACUCUGACAAACACGUAUCAUCACGGAAGUGUAUUUUUUUGUAGUGGUUGGACUAUGAAGAUACAAGAUUCGAGACUUCGUCCCGUGUCUAGAUGGGACUCUCCUUUGCGUGAAAGGAAAGCUUGGCGAUUCGGAUGUUAGAUCUCCUUCUCUGUAACCGACUCUGUGUAACCCUAGCCUCCUCCGGUGUCUAUAUAAACCGGAGGAUUUGGUCCGUAAGACCAGAACAAUCAUAAUCAUAGGCUAGCUCCUAGUGUUUAGCCUCUACAAUCUCGUGGUAGAUCAACCCUUGUAAUACCCAUAUCAUCAAGAUCAAUCAAGCAGGAAGUAGGGUAUUACCUCCAUCGAGAGGGUUCGAACCUGGGUAAAGCAUCGUGUCCCCUGCCUCCUGUUACCAUUAGCCUUAGAUGCACAGUUCGGGACCCCCUACCCGAGAUCCGCCGGUUUUGACACCGACAAUAGGGAUUAACAAAACUGAAAGAAAACUAAAGUGACUGAAUGAUCGUGUGCUUCACAAACAUAAGAGGAAACUUACCCGCAACUUGCCAAACUCCCUCCGACCCUUUUUGUCCUUCUUAAUGACCUUGGAAAUAAGAUCAGAAUCCCAAACCGAUGCUCUUGGAACCGUGCUUGCGAUCGGUUCGUCCACAUCCAAUGAGUCCGGGUAUAGCAGCUACAUGAGGCAAAUCAAAAACAAAAGGGAAAAAAUGAGUGGAUGAACAACAAGAAUAGGGAGAUGAAAAACUAUGAAAAAAGGACAAAGAGCAAGCUAGACUUACAACUAAAUGCAUGACGCAACAGCAGAUUGUGUUUUUAUCACUUGCUCCCGCGAAUGCCAAUUUUAAUUGAUCAACUACAAACUAUCAUACAUUGGUCUCCGUUAUCGCAUCCACGCAUGCAUCACAGCAGGAAAACACCGUGGGGAUAUGUUCAAACUUGUGGUAGGAGCAAGGAAACAGGAGAAGGCGACCGCCAACCAAGCACGCAGGAAACUAUUAUCUGAUGCCCCAGCCAUAUCCUUAAUCAUUUUGCACCAAGAUGUUAGUGUUGGUGAGCCUUUCGUAUUGAUCUUGAAGAUUUUGUACAUUUUGGAUGUAUAAUCUGCUCUAUUCUCGUAGCAAACCUUCCUCCCCCUAUUUGGCAGACCCCAUAUCCUGUGAACACUUGCUGCAUCUACUGGAAUCUUGCCCCUCUCUGGGAUGACAAGUUGGGAAAUUUCAGGGUCGUAAUGCUUCAUAACCCACUAACUUAAGUCUCCUGGCAUGCUACAUGUUGCAAUCUGCAACAGACCUCCAAACUCUAUUCGAAUUACCUCGUCCUUCUGAAAUUGCACUAAAUCUUUGUUUAGUUUGAACAACCUUGCUGGUGAUGCCCUGUUCCUGUGACCCUACAAGCACGAAAAAAUGGGCUAGGUUAAACUUUGUGUGACAGAAAUUAGCAAGUAUCAAUAUUGUUUCCAUGAUGAUACGAUGUUUAUCCUAUACAAAAUACCAUCAUUUGUUCUUACAACUUCAACAUGCUCAAAACUGCUAGUGGCCUUGCUUACGCAUGAUUUAACAGCCAAAAACGAUACCUAGAAUUGCUAAAAAAUAACACAUUCAUCUCACAACUUCUAAAAAGAACGCACAAAAUCCAUACAGCCUUGAAAAAAUGGAAUCUGAAAACUACGAUUCAUGAUGCAUGAAUACCUCAUUUCCGCAUGUUUUUCGGUGUUUUGGCUUUGAUUCAUCCUCCUGUGUGACCUCCUUGCCUUCUGAAUCAUCAUCUUGUGCACUGGCAUUGCUAUCUAUGUCUGACGAGCGAUUCCCACGGCAAAUUAUUCCUUUAGUGCGCAUACGCUUGUAGCCAAUCAUAGUUGGGUUCUGUUGCUGUAAUGAGUGUGCCUGCAUUGGGGGGGAAAUGUGUUCAUCUGUUCGCAUUGGAAAAAGUCACGAAACUCGAGCAUGGCAAACAUCACAGACGCUCCACCGUGCCACGCUCAAAGCUCUUACAUCUUCUCCUCGUACACCCUCUUGGUUUGCUUGUAAACCCUGACCAUCACUUUCCUUCCUUGCCUCGGACAUUUUGGACACUGCAAACACAUAAUACAGUAUUUUCAGGUUGCUAAUAAAAAAGGGACUUCACUACUUGUAACACUAUAGGUUGCUUACAAACAUGAAAAAAGACAUUUCCUAGAGCUCGCUGAUGAACCAUUAAAGCAACACAAACUUGAUUUAGGCAACGAAAGAAACUUACACAACUACUGAUUAGGCAACUUUGGUUCAGACUAACGCACAACUUCUAUGCUGAUUUCCGGCAAGGUACUAUAAAAAAAUGGGUCUGACAAAAAUCUAGAAAAACAAGUCCAACAAAUUCUGUUUCGAACGCUGCCCCAACAAUCUGUAAGUUUCAGCAAACUACACCAACAUUGAUCAGGCAUCUUAUAUAUUAAGAAAGUUUGGGCAUCUUAAAGCUUUUAAUCCUCUUAUACAUGAUGUUCAUACUUUUGUAGGUCUAAUUGGCAAUUUUGCAGUUCGAGAAAAUUGUGAUGGAAAUAUACAAAACAAUAAUAGAUGUCCAUAAGAGAUACAUGCAGAAAACAACAAACAAAGACACUUGUCAAACACCGCUACGAAAUUGUUAUCAUGAGUAUAACGGGAAGACACAGUUCACGGAGCACCAUGUGUGGUGCCAAACACAAGGCUAAACAAAAAGCAAGUAUUCCAUGAAGUGGUCUAUUGUAGUCUGAUACUUUAGCAUAUGUCUUGCAAAUGGCGACCGCUAUCGACGCUAUUCAAUGAAAAUUGAACUAAACAAACUCCUUUCAUAAAAGAAAUCUGAGCAACUCAAUGAACGCCCUAGUACUAGUAGAUCAGACAGCUCUAAAGUUUCGGCAACUCAUCCAGCCUCAAUCAAGCAACCCAUGCACAAUGUCGAAGCAACUCGGUUAACAGCCCCAGUACAGGUAGUUCAGACAGCUCUAAAAAAGUUUCGGCAACUCAAUCAACGUUGAACAGGCAACUUGUAUACAAUGUCAAAUCAACUCGGUGAACGCCCCCACGACUAGUAGUUCAAAUAGCUCUAAUUUCGCCAACUCAUAUAGCCUCAAUUAGGCAACUCCUACACAAAAUCGAAGCAACUCCUCAACAUCUGCCAAAGCAAAUGCCCAUCUCAGACCAAACAGAUCUAGGAUGAGAUCUGACAGCACACCCCCAAAUGACCUCGUGACUCACCACCACGAGGCUCCCACGAUUCGCCCCUGCCAUGAAACGUGAAGCAAAACCACUACGAUCUAUGGGAGCGUGAUUACAUCCACCUCCCUGCUCGCAUUUAUAUGACAAAUUCCUCUGUGCAAAACCACUAUGAUCUAUGGGAGCGUGAUUACAUUGAGGACACGCAGAAAAGCAGAGAAAACGGUGGCGAUGGGUGCAUACCACAGGAUUCCAGAAUACUAGGCCACCGGACAUGCAGCGCCGACGGCGACCUUCACCGCACACCCCUUUUCCCUGGGCGCGGCGAGAUUGAAACCGUUCCGCCUUAUUCUGCGGGGACCGCGCGCACCUAUGAACACUCGCGCAGAUCUGCCGCUCAAACACCACCGUCGCGCACGCCCUCCGCUCUCCGACAGCCGUCGGGGGCUUGGGGGCCGCGGUUGAACUCGCGAAGAAUAGGGGGAGAGAAAUGGCGACGAGGAGGGAGAGGAUUGGGGGGAUUCGGGGGAUUGGGGUGGUGGGGUGAGCGGUGGCUCUGAGCAGUUUCGAAUACAACGCCAACGGACAAGACGUGUGGGUAGUAGUGGGCCCUCCCAGAUGAAUAGUUGUCGCGGGAGGCCGAACCGUCCGUCCUGACCAGGGAAAACCUGGGCUCGAUCACGCGCGGUCCGACGAGAUCGGACGGUGAUAAAAGGUGUGUGCUCGAACGUGACAACCAGCAUCCAAUUGCUUUUUAGCAUUUAGGUUUUUUUAGAGUUGUAAUUCGUCUACCAUAACCACGGCAAAAAAAAUUGCUACAAGUAAUUUUUUAGAGUUGUAAUUCGUCUACCAUAACCAUGGCAAAAAAAAAUUGUCUACCAUAAUGGGUUUGUAGCUGCCCACUUGCAAAAAAAAAACUAUGAUUUUCCUUUUUCUUGGGAGCUCCUAUUUGGCGUGUUCAACAUGAGGAAAGCUUCCUGGCGCCAUCCCUCAUGGGCCGGCCCAUGUACAUGGCUCAAUUGUUGACUUUAGAGAGAAAAAACAAAAAAAAAGCAAAAUACAAAAAAGACCGUGAAUUCAAAAAUGUUCAUAGAUUUUUUAAAAAAAUCACGGAUUUGUAAAAAAGUUCAUCAAAUUUUAAAAAAUUAUCUCCUCUCGAAAAUUCUCAUUUUUUUUCUCCUCUCGGGAAUUCUCUGUGCUUUCCCAAGGAAGGAAGCUGGAGCCCAUUCGGCCCCAUUCAUCCAUCGUCAGCCAGGCUUGGCCUAGGAGGCUGUUUCUGUCCAUUUCUAGCGCUCCUCACUGUCCGCCCACUCCCCAUCUCUCCCCUCAGUCGCCGGCGGCGCUGCGUGCGUGGUCCCCCAAAUCCCACUCAAACCCCCUUCCCGCCGGCGGUCCGAUUCCGUACCGGCACAGAACUUGUCAGUCCCUAUCCGAGCAGGCCUCGAUGUCGAUGCCCAAGGCUCUUUUUAAGCGCGACCCGGCCACUGCUCGCUACUCGAUUCGUCGCGCAGCUGGAGGCAGCUCUCUCAUGGCCAGGGCCACGGCCAGGACCAGCCGCGCGAGCGGGGCGGCUCGAUUCCUGCGCCGGCAACGUGCCGACCGGAUGAGCGACCUCUCCGACGACCUGCUCCUCCUGGUCCUCCGGCGCCUCGACACCCGCACGGCGCUCGGCGCCGGGUCGAUCUCCAGGCGCUGGGCGCACCUCCCCCGCGAGCUGUCCGCCUUGGACUUGAAGGUAAGCGACAUACUCCCGCCGCGCUACCACCGAUGGGUCCUCCUACACCGGGACAUCUACAGCAAAGUAGCAGCGCAUCUGCAGUACAGACGCCACGCCGUCAGACUGGAGCUCCUGCCUAACAUCAAGAGGUACGAGCGCCGCGCCAUGCGCGCCUUGAACAGAUCCGUCGAGAGCCUCUUGCAGCAAGGACCUCGCUCUCGCCGGGGGGUCCUCAAGAGGCCGAGUCUUGAGUUCUACACCACCGGCAACGGCUCCUGCAUGAACCGGCUCAUCGCGGAGGCCAUUGAUGCUUGGGGCGUCGAGGACAUCGACGUCAUCGCCAAGCCACUCUACUAUGAAGCAGACGUCGUCCACGCCUUUCCCAGCCAUGGCAUGUGCAGGGAGCCCGGCGCCGCAUUCCUGCGAAGCCUCAAGCUUGGGGGCUGCCUACUCCCGCCGCUGCACGAGUACAGCGCACUUACCAUGCUCGUCCUGCGAGACAUUCCGGAAUCGACGCCCCCGGCCGCCUACGAGGCUGUCUUCACCUCAUGCCCAAAGCUGCAGACCCUGCACCUCAUCUCCUGCAGCUGCAGGAGCACCGACUCGGGCACAACCUUGCCGGUGGUGGUGGACGCCCCCAGUUCAGAGAUCAGAGAGCUUGUUGUCGACAAGUGCGCAUUUCAAUGGAUACGGCUGAGGACUCUCCCCUGUCUCGAGAGCCUAGCCUCCCUGGGAACCAGAGUGUUCUUCGAGUAUAACUUGAUUCCCUCCCUGAGGCAAUGCAACUUCGCCCUGCGCCUCGGUGUCAUGCUAGAAGGCGCGCGCCAAUACUUUGCAGAGCGGCUGAAGCUAGAGCUUGACAUGUUUCUUCGGUGCACCCCCAACAUAACCAGCCUCAUUGUCAGGUUCACUGGUCCUGACAGAUGGAUCGUGCCGUCUAGCUCUCCAUUGUCGUAUUUGCCUAGCCUGAGGCGGCUGCUGGUCACGGAUGUGCCGUCUUCCUGGGAUGCUUCGUGGCCUCGUCUCUUUCUUGAGAUGACGCCUUCUCUCGAGAUCCUACACAUCAACAUUGCCUCCUGCAAGGACAAGCCUGGUAAAGAAAUUUCAUGGCAGCCCAGCGAGCUUCGGCAGCAUCACUUGAAGGAGUUUGUGGUUACUGGUUUCGAGGGAACCAAAAGGCAGAUUUACCUUGUCAAUUUCGUCGUCGGAGCAUGCACGGCGUUGCGCCGUGUCGCCUUGUUCAGGAACGGGCAUGCACAGGGAAAGGGGCUCUGGGACUGGGAGAUGGUCACGCAGCCACACUUGUGGACGGACGAGCAGAAGGACUACACGCUGAAGCACAUCAUGGAUGGGGUUUCUUCCUCACCUGUUCAACUUGUUUUUGGCUGAAUUUUGUGCGUCUUACAGGCUUCUGGUGUUCCUUACCAUAUGUGAUCUCUCGGGGACUUGAUGCGUUGUGUGGGUAUUCUUCAAUAAACUCGAAUAAUUCGAUUCACUUAAGUUCUCCAUGUCCACCGCCUAUGGUUUUCAUGUCCACCGCUCGGCUCUAGUAACAAAUAAGAUGUGGCUAGCUAGGUCUCAUCUAAAUGAGAAUUAACUAAGUCUCAUCUAACUCUUAGACCAUUUUACCUAAUAGAAGGUACAAAAAAUAUUAGGGCUCCUCCUCCACCUCCUCCUCCUCCAAGAAAGAAAGUUAGGGUUUGUGCCUCUCGCCGGCGCCGGCGCAGGUCCGCCUCGUCUCCGGUGGCCCUAGGACCAUGGAGGCCGGUGGAUCCUGGCAAGGGCCGGCGGGAGGGUUUCGUUUUUAGUCGUUUUUUUCAAUCUUGUUAGGGUUUGUGUCCUAGUCAGGAAGACGAGACGGCGGCGGCUCCCUGAAGAUGGAAUAAAGGUCUCCCCGCCUAGCCCUCGUUCCGGCGGUGCGUCUAGCAUCGUUGGUGGGCCUGUGGAGGUGUGUCUCCGGCAGAUCUAUCUUUGGUGGAUUUGCUCGAAUCUCGUCGUUGUUCGUCUACGUUCGUGUGUCUUCGGUUUGGAUCCUCCCGAUCUACGUUAUUUUCCAUCGGCGGCGGUUGCUGUUCUGGGGUGCUGGUCCUAUGGGGCCUUAGCACGACGACUUCCUGACUGUCUACUACAACAAGUUGUGCCCCCCUCCGGCGAUGGAGGGGCGAUGACGCCGGCGUGCCUUCGGCUCGCUUCGGUGCUUGUAGUCGUCGCUAGGUGGUCUACAGAUCUGGAUGUAAUUUUUAUUUCUGGUAUUCGUUGUACUGCCAUAAUUGAAGAUGAAUAGAUUGAAAGUUUUUCCAAAAAAAAGAACUCUUAGACCAUUUUAUUUUAAGCGGAGAUCCGUGAAGAUUUUUUUUUCCUUUUUCUUGUUUGAUUAAUUAAAGGAUGUAAGUGUUAGAUGAGACCUUGUUCUCAUCUACACUGUUCCGAAAUAUAAGAUGUUUUGACAAUUCAAAUUUAGGAACAUUUGAAUUGUCGAAACAUCUUAUAUUUGAGACUUUAGCUAUAUGUAAGCUGCCUGGAAAUUAAUUUGAGGUCAGACAACUUUUUAGUCCGUUGAUUUCUACUAUAGGAUUUAUGCUCUGUUUUUUCUCUGGCCUAUUUGGUUGUUUGUUUUUGGACUGGCCACAUAUUUUUGUCAGUCAAGAUGCUAGUGGGCUAGAGCCCAUUACAUGUGCCACCCAACCCCACUCUCUCCCUUUGUUUUUUCUGUUUUGAUGCGUUUCUGCUUUUGGUUUCUUAUUAAUUAGUUGAUUUUUAUUUUAUUUUCCUUUUGUAGGUAUAUUUGAUAUGUUAGUUGAGUGUAAAUGUAUACACGCAAAUACUAUGAAAUACGUGUGAAAAUUACACUAUAAUAUGAUUGUCGUUUAGAUAUUAUACAAAGUGUAAUUUAGUGCAAAGUUGUAUGCAAUUUUUUUUUACCUUUUCCAUAUCUUUCUUCUUAAAGAGUAAUACCAAUGCUACUAGCUCAUUGUUUCAUAUAAAUUUUCAUAUUUUUGAUUUUGAUUUAAUUAUUAUUUUACUAUAAACAUAUUCUUGCAUAUUAUAAAAAUAGCUAUUUUGUGUAAAAUGUGCACAAAUUUUAUCAUUGUUUCUUUCCAUUUUUCCUUCAUUUUCUUCCUUCUUAAAGGGCAAUAUCAAUAUCACAAAUUCAUUCUUAUUUAGAAGAUCUCAUUAUUUUGAUUUUUUUAAUUUUUGUUUCAUUUUCUAUUUUCUUAAAGGAUAAUACCAAAGCCACUAAUUCAUUCUUUCUUUGAAAACUACAUUAUUUUGAUAUUUUUGAAGUUUUUUACUUUAUUUUAUUUCUUGUAUAACGUUAAUACUAAUACCACUCAUUCACUACAUCUGAGGAAACUUUAAUUCUUUUGUUAAAGUGUUCACUAUUAUAUGUUUAUUCUUUCAUAUUAUAAAAAGGUUUAAUUGUUUUGUAAUUUGUGUGCAAAUUUGUCAUUAUUUGUUUCAUUUUUGUUUCUUUCUUCUUAGAGGGUAAUACCUUUUUUUGCGGGAAACUGUCGAUUUAUUCAUCUUCAAUCAUGUCAGUACAAUGAACACCAGAAAUAAUAAAAAUUACAUCCAGAUUCAUAAACCAUCUAGCAAUGACUACAAGCACUGGAGCGAGCCGAAGGCGCGCCGCCGUCAUCGCCCCUCCCUCGCCGGAGCCGGGCACAACUAGUUGUAGUAGACAGUCGGAAAGUCGUCGUGCUAAGGUCCCAUAGGACCAACGCCCCAGAACAGCAACCGUCGUCGAUGAAGAGAAUUUUAGAUCGGAAGGAUCCAACCUGAAGACACAUGAACAAAGAUAAACAAAGACCGGAUCCGAGUGGAUCCACCAAAGAAAACCACCGACCAAAUCUCGCGAGAUCUGCCGGAGACACACCUCCACACGCCCUCCGACGAUGCUAGACACACCAUUGGGAUAGGGGCUAGGUGGGGAGAACCUUAUUCCAUCUUCAAGAAGCCGUCGUCGUCUCGUCUUCUUGAAUAGGACACAACCCCUAACAAAACUUGAAGAAGCACCUGAAAACAGAGCCCUCCCGCCGGCAAGUGCCGGGAUCCACCGCGCACCCAUGAACCUAAGGCCAUAGGGGACGUGGGAGAUCGGCGGCGCCGCCGACAGGAGGCAGAAACCCUAGCCGUCUUUUCUUGAUGAAGGAGGAACAAAGGGAAGAGGAAAACAUCUAAUUGUCUAAUCUAGCCCUCUUUCUGAGAGGGUAAUACCAAUGCCAUCAAUUCAUUAUUUUUUUUAAAAAACUUCAUUAUUUUGAUUUUUUCUUAGUUUUAAAUUCUUUUUCUUUUUUUUAUACUUGAAUUUGGAGCAUAACAACCAUAUCGUUAACAACAUUCUAAAGCUGCAAUAACAAAAUAGAAUCAUCAGUAGUACAGGGAAGCCCACUAGUAUCAUCCAGAAAAUCGACAUUAAUGACGUGUACCUAGCACGUCACUAGUAUCACGUCACUGGUAAUGUUUAUCAGUGGCAUGCACUUCUCAUGCCAACAAUAACAAAUAUAUAAGUAGCGUUCACCGCAAAGCAUACACCACUAAUACAUCUAAUAUGCCAUUUUUCUGAAGCAUCGGUUGACUUGCAAGUCCCUAGUGGCAGUUAACCUUUCGUUGCAAUGUGCUAGCUUAAAACUAGUUGAUGGAGCAAGAUGACAUGGGUGACGGCGAAGGAGAAGAUCGGCAGCACACGGAUGAUGGCAUUCAGGAAUUCGGAGGGCACCGACAGUAGUGGGAGACGCAAUGAUAGAUGAAGCGAGGGAAACUCUAGUCCCUUCCGGCAGCCGGAUCCGUUGCCGUCCUCCUGUACGCCAUCGCCGUCAGGCCCUAUGUGCACGGAAACGUUAGCGUCUUUGUCUUCAUCAGCUAUGGAUUGGUCUGCCUCUUGUUCUCAUCGCGGCUAGUUGUCCAACGCCCGAAAGAAGGGAUUGUCGAGGAAGGAAAGGACGCCUCUUGUUCUCACCACGCGCAGAGGAUGUUGGUGGUGAGGUCUGCCCCUAGAUAUUUCUAUGGUGGUAGGCUUGCACUGGAUACUUUCCGAACAUUUUUUUUGGAAUUUUGGAACAAAUUUGAAUCCUGAACUUUUUGAAAUUGAAUAUAAUCUUUUUAAUAUUUUUUAAAUCAGAUUUUUUUUAAUAAGUGAACCAAAUUUUGAAAUCCUGAACUUUUAAAAAUUGUGAUCAAAAUUUUGAAUUUUUUGAACAAAUUUUAAAGAUUUGAAUAGUUUUGGAACAAAGUCAACUACUUUCGGAAUUCUAAACAUUUCUAAAAGCGCUGACAAAAAUCGAAAUUCCCAAACAUUUUUCGAAAAGAAGGGAAGAAAUUCUUAAAUUGUAAAUAUUUUUUAUAUAUAAAAAUAAAAAGUAAACAAAAAUUAAUAGGAAAAUAAAAAGUAAAAAAUUGAAGAAAACCUUAAAAGAAACAGCAGAAAAAAGAAAAACGAGAAAACCAGAUCUGAACCGACCGGGAACGUGGUAGAAGGUUUUCCAUGUUGUCUCAAAAAAAGAGUAGGGUUUUCCAUGUGGGACUCCGUUUUCCCGUAGAUCACUUCUCGCCGGCGGUUUCCGAUCACAAUUCAUACUCCGAUCCUCCGUCGUUAAUCACUUCUCCGAGCAGGUUUCGACGUCGAUGCCGAAGGCUCUGGUUAAGCCCAACGGCGGUCGCGACCCAAGCACAUCUGCUCGCUUGUCGCUACUCGAUUGGUCGCGCAGGUGGAGACAGAUCUCUCUCAUGGGCAGGGCCAAGAGGACUAGGGCAAGUAGCAGUAGCAGGAGCCGGGCGGAUCAAUUCCUGUGCCGGCGACGUGACGACCUGAUCAGCGACCUCUCCGACGAUCUGCUCCUGCUCAUCCUCCGCCGCGUCGACACCCGCACGGCGCUCGGUGCCGGGUCGAUCUCCAGGCGGUGGGCGCGCCUCCCCCGCGAGCUGCCCGCCUUGGACUUCAGGGUCAGCGACCUACUCCCGCCGCGCCACCUCAAAUGGCUCCUCCUCCACCUCGACAUAUCCAGCAAACCAGCUCAUGUGCGCCUACAGUACAGAAGCGACACCAUCAACCUGGAUAUCAUGCCUAACAUCGAGAGGUGCAAGCGCCGCGCCAUGCGCACCUUCAACAGCUCCAUCGAGAGAUUCUUGGAAGGACCUCGCCGUCGCCCGGGGGUCGUCAAGAGGCUGAGCCUGGAGUUCUUCGUCACCGGCAACGGCUGCUCCCUGAACCGGCUCAUCGCGGAGGCCAUUGAUGCCUGGGGCGUCGAGGAGCUCGAGGCCAUCGCCAAGCCGCUGUACCACAACCACAAGCAGCAAGAAGCCGUCCACGCCUUUCCCAGCCAUGGCCUGUGUAAGGAGCCCCGCUCGUCACGCCUGCGAACCCUCAAGCUCGGACGGUGCGCGCUCCCGCCACUGCUGCACGAGUACGGUGCGCUUACCAUGCUCGUCCUGCGAGACAUUCAAUCGACGCCUCCGGCGGCCUACGAGGCCGUCUUCACCUCGUGCCCAAAGCUGCAGACCGUGCACCUCAUCUUGUGCAGCUGCCGGAGCGCCGACUCGGGCACGCUCUUGCCACUGGUGGUGGACGCCCCAAUUCAGACAUUAGAGAGCUUGUCGUGGAGAACUGCUCAUUCCGAUGGAUACAGCUGAGGAGCCUCCCCUGUCUCGAGAGCCUAGCCUCCCUGGGACUGGGAGCGGGAAGCAGAGUGUUCUUCGAGCAUAACUCGUUUCCCUCCCUGAGGCAAUCCAACUUCACCAUGCGCCUCGGUGUCGAGCUCGAGCUUGAAUACGUGCGCCAAUACUUUGCGCUGCCGCUGAAGCUGGAGCUCGACAUGUUCCUUCGAUGGAGCCCCAACAUAACGAGCCUCGUCGUCCGGUUCACCGGUCCUGACAGAUGGAUCGUGCCGUCUAGCUCCCCGUUGUCGUAUUUGCCCAGCCUGAGGCGGCUGCUGGUCGCCGACGUGCCGUCUUCCUGGGAUGCCUCGUGGCCGCGUCUCUUCCUUGAGAUGGCGCCCUCCCUGGAGAUCCUACACAUCAACAUUGCCUCCUGUUGGCUGAACCCCGGUGAAGAAAUUCCAUGGCAGCCAAGCAAGCUUCGGCAGCAUCUCUUGAAGGAGCUUGUGGUUGCUGGCUUCGAGGGGGCCGGAAGGCAGAUUUACCUUGUCAAUUUCGUCGUGGGAGCAUGCACGGCGUUGCGCCGUGUCGCCUUGUACAGGAAAGGUCAUGCGCGGGGCAAGGGGCUCUGGGACUGGGAGAUGGUCACGCAGCCACACUCGUGGACGGACGAGCAGAAGGACUACACGGUGCAGCAGAUCAUGCAUGGCGUUUCUUCCUCAACUGCCCAACUAGUAUUUGGCUGAAUUUUCUCACAAGUCACUCUUUUGGUGUUCCUUAUGAUCCCUAUUUACUCGAUGUAAGUUACCAUGAUCUCUGCCACAAUUAGCGUGUCACUUGUUUCUUUCUCAAAUUCGAUUUCUUUUGCUUGGUUAAGUUUUCCAUGUCCACUGGCAGCUUUGUAAUAUAUCUAGAAAAAAGGGGUUCGAAUGUGGCUUCUUCCUGUCCACGAAUAUUGGGGCGUCACAAUUCUUGAAAACCAAAAUAGAUUAUCCCUUUUGUUACAAGAGCUAUGGAUUGAAUAUAAAUGAAAAUUUGCAUCAAGGUAGAUUCAUGAACUAUUGAUAUGCUUAAAUGUUUUCGAAAGUCCUAUUCUGCUCCCAAGCUCAAAUGCCCCCUUAUGAAUAGUAAAAUUGAAAAAAUAGUAAAAAAAAAUUAAAAAAACUCUGAUUUUUUUGCGGUAACCUUUAACAAAUGUUUCAUAUGAUUGCAAAAUUUCAGCAUGAAAUGACAAUGUGGAAGUGACAGAAAAAAACAGCACUUCAAAAUGUUUCCAAAACUAGCAUUUUUGGAACAUCGAUUUUUUUCACGACUUCCACGAAUAUCAUUUCGUGCUGAAAUUUUGCAAUUAUAUCAAAGUUUACCAAAAAGAAAAUUCAGAUUUUUUACCUUUUCUAUUGUACUGUUUAUAAGGGAGCAUUUGAGCUCGGGAAUAGAUACUCCAUGUCCAAAUGUUUUCAUGUUUUUCUAUCAGUGUAUUCUGGUGAUUCUGUAGUUUGGAGCACCUGAAACUUUCCCGCUUAGGUUCUGCUAUUUAUCAUUGGACUAAAAUUACAACAUCAGUCAAUCGAUUUGGGACGGAGCUCCAAGUUCGCCGCCAGGCCUCAAACAGGAGCAACGUGGUGCCACACGACCGUGGCAGCUGCAUUGCCGGUAAAUGGCGACCUGAAGCAGAUCAUGGAUGGGGUUUCUUCCUCAGCUGCUCGACUUUGUUUUUGCUGAAUUUUCUCACAGGCAUCUGAUCUUUUUGUGUCUCUUGAUGCUUUCUUCUUUUGUUCUAGGCAGUGUGCACAUUUUUCAGUAAACUUGAAUAAUUUGUUUCAUUAAGUUUUACAUGUCUUUUCGCAACAAAAAGUUUUCCAUGUCCACCGGCAGCUCAAGUAAUGUAUCUUUUAAGGAAUGUUGUCACGUCACAAUUCUGGAAAACGUUAUUUUUAUCCUUUUCGUUUCUCGACCUGUGGAUUGAAUAUAAAAUGAAAAUUUCUGUCCUGAUAUCAUUAACUAUUGGUGUCCUGAAAUGUUUUCAAUUAUUUUCACUAGUGUCUUGUGGUGAUUAUUUUGUUUUGGGGCACUUGGAGGAGCACCUGAGACUUUCCCAUUUAUUAGAUGGAAAUGCAGAGUUCAUUUAACUUCCUUUUCUUUUUUUAUUAACAAAUACAAUCGCACAUACUCACAUAUAGGCAUUCAUAUGAUGCACCCACGCACACAUUAAUCCUAUGAGCACCUUUGAGAUUGACGAAGUCACCAUAGACCUAGUAAACACUAGUGUCAAGUCUAGGAAUACGAAACGUUUGUCCACUGAACGAACAUGUCUGAGAAGUCUGAAAUAAAUCCAAAAAAAUGCAAACACUAGUGUCAAGUCUGGGACUUGAACCAUGAUAGGCUGGUUCGACCACAAGGAACCUAACUAUCUAGGCUAAAUUCAGUUCAUUUUCAUUUAAUUUGGUGUACAUCUAGUCUCCUCCAUGGCUGGGUAUUAAUUUCCUUGGUUUUGCUUAUUAGUUGCCUCAAAUUGCAUUUUUCAUCAGCAGAUUUUCGGCGAAGCUCUGACCGCCACAUCUAGCGCCAGCAAGGCCUUCGACAUGAGCGAUCUGAGACCGAGAACGGCAUGGCCGCAGCGUCGCCAAUGGGGAUGAGUCUCAGGUUCGACAGUUUCGGGUGCGUGGGGUUCAUUGACAACCAAAUCGUGACGAGGUUUAAAGGGACUUCAGCAGAAGCACGACGAAGGUGGUGACUUGGGGAGCGGGGGGCUGCGCGGCAGCAGACGUGCAGUACUAGGGUAGAGAAAGUGCAGAGCGCAUUGGGGAAGAAGAAAAUUGUCCCUGGAUUUGGAUAGGAGGAGGAAUAAGAACGUGAGGCAUUGGAUUUGCGUGGAACGGUUGGGAAAGGCGGAUAGCAAAUCGGCUUAAGUAAAAACAAUUUACUAACCAAGGUGUUUUCCAUUGGGGGUUCUCUCAUUUCUUCAAGCAAUUUUGCUUUCUCGGUCUUAGAAAUGCAAUAUUGGAGUCCUAAUUUCCUAGAUGAUGGGCUGCAUUGCUGCAAGAUCUGACCUUUUGCAGGGGCAAAUGGCAAAUGCAUGCAAUGCAGUUAACAAACUGGGGUGUAACUGUAAUCAUGUUUAUAUGUUGCAAUGUACAACAGUUUAGCUAAAUGACAGCGGACUGAAUUUUAAAUUUGGAUCAAUCGAUUUUGAGUGGUUCGCUGGAGUGAGCCGGAGGGAAAGAAGGGGCUCGCCGGAGGGCAACCCCAUUAUCUAUCUUAGGGUUUAGGGUGGGGGCGGUGGUGAGGCUUCGCCGGAGAGAAAAAACUAGACGCGGCCGGGGCUAGAGGAAUGGUCGGGGGCGGCGGCAAGAUCGGCAGUGGGGGCGGUUCAUGGGAGGGCGGGGCGACGAGGCGGUUGCGGACAAUGGGGGCCAGCGGUUAGGCCGGCGGCCCGUGCGGCAGUCUCAGAAGAAGAAGAGUUGAGGUAGUGGAAGAGGUGAGGAAGAAGAAGGGCCAGGCGCCAUAUGAUCUUCAUCCAACGGUCUAGAACGGUCGACUGACCCAAAUUUAAUAACCAGUGGACUGACAUGUAGCGGCACCCAAUGUACAAUGGAAACAUACGCCAUUAAUCGAUCGAACAACAUUAUGUAUGCAUAAGGUGCUUUGGCGGACGCGUCUCGGGGCGACGGGCAUGGCGACUAGGGGCGGGCCGCCUCUCCUCUCCGGUGAUGGCCGGCGAGUCGGAGGCAGAUUCAGGGCUUUGGCGGAUGCCGAGGAGGAGGAUGCGGACGGGGAUGCGGACGACGCUCCACCAUCGCCGCCGACGCCAACUCCCUCUGACCACGUCAAUGACUGGUUAAAUGCCGAUUAUUCGGAAGAGGAGGUCGCAUCAUCCAUCAGCGGAGUCCUGCCUUCAUGAUCCGGCAAGGAACGGGCUUCUCGAGGGCGACGAACGGGAGAUGGUUCGACAUCUAGUUCAUCGGAGAUUGUCGACGGCGGCGGUCAAACCUUGGAAGGGUCCUUUGCCGAAGGUUAGUCUCCCUGAUCUCACUGUUUUCGAUCUUAUUAGGCCGGAGUCUUGGAUCAUGGUUAAUCGCAACAAAAAAAGUCGCCGGACUUCAGCCAAAUCUGUGCCGGCGAUGCGUGCGGCCGUCUCGCCGGUUCUUCCGGGACUCGGGAUCGCUGCAUCCCGUAAACAGCGUUUGAAUUCCAUCUUAGGCCGUGAGGGGCCGAGCGUGUGUGCUCUCGGGCUGAGUUCGGUUGGGCCGGAGUUAGCUGGGUAUGUGGCCCAUGCUAACCCGGUGCCAAACCAGCCGGAGCUGGGUGUCGAUCCGGGCCUCGCGGGUGGGCUGGUCGGGCUAGUCUCACCUGGGUAUGUGGGCCAGGUGGAGCCGGUUUUGACCGCGACUGUGGAAGACGGGGCGUCGUUUCCAUCGUUGCGUCCUCCCUCGACAUCGCCCGCUAGGGUUCUGCGUCGGUGUAGCCAGAACUUGCGUACGGCAGGGAGUGGGAGAGCGCGGGGCAUCCCGCUGCUGGGGCUGAUGACGGGUCACGGGGGAGCUCUGCCGCCGGGGAAGAACGCUGGGAACGGCCAUGUCCAAUCCGCGACGCCGCAGGGUGCCAGCGCUGGCCAUGGUGCCGUGCCGUCGCCAGCCUCGGGGGUUGGGGAUGUCCGGGGGCUGCCUCCUGCUCCGUUCCUUCCUGCUGCCAGAGGGGUACCUGCGGGUGCCUCGGCUUCGGGCCGGUGGAGGGGGCACCGGACCCCGACCACCGCAGCCGGUCCAUGCAGGGUCCCGGCCCCUGGCGCCGACUGCGGCUGGGGUGGCUAUGGCGGGUCGUGGCGGUCAGUUUCCUCGGCCGCCCACCCCGGCUCUUGUGGUCUCCGGCCUCCCGCGCCGGGUGCUGUUGGUCGUGGUGGUGCGGUGCCGAGGCCACCUGCAACCGGGCCAUCAACCGGGCAGCUUCCAAGGCUGUUUCCGCCGCCUCACGUCGUAGCGAAGCCACCGCCGAACAGGGUCGGGCUGGUGCAGACACAACAACCACCUCAAGCUUCUGCCACGCCCAAGGGACAGUGGGGUGACGAUGGUUUCGAUGCAUAUGGCGCUGGUAAGCACCGUGGAUCCUCGUUCGCGGGUGGUGGUCGGGGCUACGCUUGGCAGAGCGAUGGCACGGCCGAGCGACCAUUCUUGGGGCCCCCAGGAGGCUUUGUUGAUGGGGCAUCUGGCCUGGGUCACCAACAGCGGGGUGGAUUUCGUGGUCAUCGAGGUGGCCAAAGGGGGCGGGGUGGCCGGUACCGUCCACGACGGCCACCGCCGCCUGCUACUGACCAGAUGGUGGUUGACGAGGCCGUUGAGGAGCCGGUUCUGUCUAGGCACGCUACGGAGGUGCUUUCGGCGCUCGCCUCGGCUGAGAUUCCUGGGAAGGAGUCCGGGUCGACAGAGAUAGUGGAGGUGUCGGACAGGGCUGAGUCUGAGAGGGCAGCCAACUGUGCGCGUAAGAAAGAGACUAUGUUGUGCUAUAGAUGUGGUGGCAAGGGACAUUUUAUUGCGGAGUGUGUGGCUGAGCUGUGUGGCACUUGUGGUAAACCGGCACACGAGUUGGGGGACUGCCCGUUGUUGGGAGAUCAGGCACCAUCACUCAUGAUGUAUGGAGUGUACUGUGCUGAGCUUACUUUUUUUGAGUCUCCAACGGAGAUGGACGCUCCUGAUGAGUCUUUGAGUUUGACGACUGGGUUAGUCAAAAUUGCCAGAGGUGAGGUGUCGGAGGCACAGAUUGUUCAACGGCUCAAAGAGUUAGCUCCUGGGGAUUUCCAGUGGGAGUUGGUUACUAUGGAGGAUAACCUGUUUCGGGUUGAGUUCCCGUCCGUUGACGAUCUUCAGAGGCUUCUGAGCUUCGGGAUGUGCAAGGUGCCGGGUACUGAGGGUGUGCUUGAGUUUCACGAGUGGAAGAGGAUUGAGCCUACGGGCAAGCCUCUGACUCAGGUAUGGUUGCGGUUUUCUGGGGCUUCCUCCAAGCCGUUGCAGGAUGCCCGGGUCAUGGCCAGCUUGGGUAUCAUGAUGGGCAGACUGGAGCGAGUGGAUAUGGACUUCACUAGGGCCCACGAGAUUGCCUGUAUUCAGGUUAGUGUGCUGAACAUCGAGUAUGUGCCUGAGGUGGUAAAGUGGGCAUAUCGAGGUCACAUCUAUAACCUUGUCAUUGAGUUCGAGGUUGAGAGUCUGUUUGCCGAGGUGGCCAAUGGGACGGACACUGAUAUGCACGAGGGGGAUGAUGGUUCAGCUCUAAAGGAGGCACCAGCGGCUGAUAGUGGGCGAGAGUUGUCCAAAGCAUCGGGUGCUGACUGUAAGACAUAUGCGGAUGGUGUAGCUCCAACUUCUGCGGUACCCAUGACUGCUCUUAGAUUCGGGUCUUUCAAGCCAGCAUCUGCACCUCCGAGACUUUGGAGUGAGCGGGUGGAGUCUGAUGAUAUGUUCGAGCACAUGUUACCGGCUCUGGAGUACGAGGAGUCUGUGGUUCCUUUUCUUAGAGCGUCGCCGACCUCAGUCAGGGCUGGGGCGGAGGAGGCUGCUCUCGCUGGCGGGGAUCCGGAGAUGGUGAUUUCGGAGUCCUACACUGCGGUCGUCGUACCUCCGGUUCAGCAGGUGGUGCGUUCUGUUGAUGGGGGCAUGGGGCAGGAGGCCUCGCCUCUCUCAUCAGGGCUUGCGGAUGACGAGUUUCGGGCGGUGCAGCUUGAUGCUUCGGGAGGGAGGCCGAGGCUGCUAGCCACGGCUCUUUCCUCCCCUUUUGCCGGGCCGGUCUCGGUGGCGCCGGCGUCGCUUUCCGGAGAGGGCUCGGGGCAGGUGGUCCCGGGGCCUUCUUCUCCAGGGGCGCCUACAGAGGCCUGCUUGCCUUCGGCGCCGGCCUCGUUGCCUGGCCGGCGGGCCGGGGUGGAUGGAGAGCUCGGGCGGGAGGCCCUGGUUCAACCUUCCCCCGGCUUGGUGGUCUCGAGUGCUGCUACUCGGGAGGAGGUGAUUGUGUUCGGGGGCAUUCCGGAUCCGGUCUCCGAGGGGCGACGGUUUAGUAGCCGUCUCCAGGACCAUCCGAAAGUGGACGACAUUCAGCAGCGGUGCGCUAUGAGGGUGGCCAAGCUUCGUGACGUGGAGGUCACUACUGGUAUGUCUGUCAAUACCUCUAAUUCUAUAUUGCAUUUUACCAAUGAUGAGAUUAUCAAUAAUGCAAAUCAACUAGGUAUUUCACUAGGUAGUAAUGAUAGUGAAAUCUCAACCUCGGUUAAUGAUAUGCUGGAUUUAGAGGCCGAACGGGCGCUUGAGAUGAUUCGUAACUUAGCGGCGGUAAAACCUAUGAAUGAUUCUGAGAUCGACGCACUAGGGGUCAGGGCGCUCGAUAAUCUUUGUGCGGAUCUGACUCAACCGUCUCCUGAGCCCGAGGAGGAGGUUGAGCGAGUGGAUAAUGUGGAAAUGCGCACCUCUGUGGCUGCUUGUGAGGACCAAUUGCAAAGUUUUACUGCUCCUAAACGCAAAUGGAAGCAGAAGAUCUACCCAGUUUCCGCAGUGCGUAGGAGCGCUCGGAUUCGAACAGCUAAAAAAUUCCAUGACGAGAUAUAAAAGGAAUCUUUUGGAAUAGCAAAGGUCUGAAAGACUUGGCUAAAAGAAGGUUUCUUGCUGAGGCUUCUAUUGAGCAUAAGUUGGACUUUAUUGCUUUGUCGGAAACGGGUAGAGCCAACUUCUCGCCACAAUUUCUUAAUACUCUUUCGAGGGGUAUUGAUUUUGAUUGGCAUUGUCUACCUCCGCGAGGAAGAUCGGGUGGGAUUUUACUCGGUGUUAGAUGUGACUCGUUAGAAAUCCGAAGCGUGGUCAUGGGAGAUUUUGCUGUUAAGUUUAGGGUGCGGUCGAAGUCAGAUGGGUUUAACUGGGCUUUGGUGGCGGUAUAUGGUGCCGCACAGCCUUAGCAUAAACCGGAUUUCCUGGCUGGUCUGGUUAGGAUUUGUGGUUCUGAACAACUUCCUAUCCUGGUGGGGGGUGAUUUUAAUAUUAUCAGAAAGAGUGAUGAGAAGAAUAAUGACAAUUUUGACGGUCAAUGGUCCUUCAUGUUUAACACAAUCAUUGAAAGCCUAGAUCUGCGUGAGAUAGAGCUUUCGGGCCGAAAGUUUACCUGGGCUAACGCUUUGCCAAAUCCGAUAUUUGAAAAGCUGGAUCGAGUCCUGGCUAGCGUCGAAUGGGAGCAGAAAUUUCCAUAUGUUACGGUCCAGGCGCUUAUUCGUGGUAUUUCUGAUGACACGCCUUUAUUCCUUGACUCUGGAGAGGCUACCCAUUUGGGAAAUAAAAAUGUUUUCUCUUUCGAGCUUGCUUGGUUUGAGAGAGAAGGCUUCUUGGAUCUCGUAGCCAAAGAAUGGGCUAAGGAUGCAGGAGGUCGGUCUGCGCUUGAGCGCUGGCAGAAUAAAAUUAGGCAUUCAAGAAGUUUCCUACAUGGGUGGGCUAAGCAUCUCAGUGGGAUUUAUAAGGCUGAAAAGGAACAACUCCUUUUUCUUAUUCAGUCCCUUGAUGUAAAGGUCGAAACCACAAUUCUGCCAGCCUUGGAGCUUCAUGCCAAGCUAGAGGCGGAAAUGAGGCUGAAAGAGCUCCUUCGUGAGGAAGAACUAAAGUGGGCGCUUCGGGCUAAGGUCACUAGAGUCGUUCAGGGGGAUGCGAACACAAAUUUUUUUCACCUGAUCGCCAAUGGUAAGCAUAGAAAAAAGAGGAUCUUUUAGCUUGAACAAGACGAGGGAAUGAUUCUUGGUCAGGAAAACUUAAAGCAAUAUAUCACUGAGUUCUACAAGCAGUUGUUUGGGCCUCCAGAGGACAACUGUGUGUCGCUGGAUGAGUCUAGGAUUGAGGAUGUGCCUCAACUUACGGCUGUUGAGAAUGAUAUUUUAGUCGAUCCCUUUUCUGAGAAAGAGGUAUUUGAGGCAAUUACCUAGAUGAAGAAUAAUAAGGCUCCUGGCCCGGAUGGUUUCCCGGCAGAGUUCUAUAAAAAGUGUUGGCAUAUUAUUAAAGGAGAUCUCUUGCCUUUGUUCAACGAUUUAUUCUUGGGCUAGCUUCAUCUUUUUAAGCUGAAUUUUGGAACUAUAACCUUACUUCCAAAGAAGACAGAGGCUGUGCGGAUUGAGCAAUUCCGGCCUAUCUGUCUUCUCAAUGUUAGUUUCAAAUUUUUUACCAAGGUCGGGACGAAUAGGCUCACACAGAUUGCGCAUACUGUGGUGCAGCCUACUCAGUCUGCUUUCAUGCCGGACAGGAACAUCCUCGAAGGAGUUGUGGUCCUGCAUGAAACGCUCCAUGAGCUCCACACGAAAAAACUUGAUGGUUUUGUUUUCAAGGUGGAUUUCGAGAAAGCGUACGACAAAGUCAAAUGGCCUUUCCUUCAACAGGCACUCCGAAUGAAGGGUUUUGAUGAAGCUUGGAGAAGACAAGUGGAAUCCUUCACGCAAAAAGGGAGUGUUAGAAUUAAAGUGAAUGACGAUAUAGGCCAUUAUUUCCAGACACACAAGGGCCUGAGACAAGGUGAUCCAAUGUCUCCUAUUUUCUUCAACAUUGUCGCAGACAUGUUGGCAAUCCUGAUAGGUAGGGCAAAGGAGGCCGGUCAAGUAGGUGGCUUGGUGCAGCAUCUUGUUGAUGGUGGUGUGUCCAUCCUGCAGUACGCCGAUGAUACAAUUAUCUUUAUGGAGCAUGACUUGGCAAAAGCGAGAAAUAUGAAGCUGGUGUUGUGCCUUUUCGAGCAAUUGACCGGCCUGAAGAUUAACUUCCACAAGAGUGAGUUGUUAUGUUUUGGGAGAGCCAAAGAGGAACAAGAUGCUUAUAAGCAAUUGUUUGGUUGCGAAGUGGGAGCACUUCCGUUCACUUACUUGGGUAUCCCUAUUCAUCAUCGUAAGUUGACAAACAGCGAAUGGAAGUGUAUUGAGGAUCGGUUUGAGAAUAAACUGAGCUGCUGGAAGGGCAAACUCAUGUCAUACGGAGGUCGAUUGAUUCUCAUUAACUCGGUGCUCACGAGUCUGCCUAUGUUCCUUUUGUCCUUUUUUGAAGUACCAGUUGGAGUCAGGAAAAGACUGGACUUCUAUCGAUCCCGUUUCUUCUGGCAGAGUGAUGAGCUUAAGAGGAAGUACCGUCUAGCCAAAUGGGAUGUCAUCUGCCGACCGAAAGACCAAGGGGGUCUGGGUGUUGAGAAUCUUGAGGUUAAGAACAGAUGCCUCCUCAGUAAGUGGCAUUAUAAGUUAGCAGCUGAGACGGAUGCAACUUGGGCGCAGAUUCUGCGUAAUAAGUAUCUGCACUCAAAGACUUUGUCGUAGGUGACAGUCAGGCCGACUGACUCGCUGUUCUGGAAAGGGCUAAUGAGAGUCAAAGCUACUUUCUUUAAUAGAACAAGAUUUAUUGUUGGUGAUGGCAAUAGUACUCGCUUCUGGGAGGAUACUUGGCUGGGGAAGCGCCGCUAGCACUUCAGUAUCCCUCGUUAUAUCGUAUUGUGCAGCAACGCGAUGCUCUGGUUGCAACGAGUUUGCAGUCCACCCCCUUUAAUUUUCAGUUUAGGAGGGUGCUUGUUGGAGAACGGUAGGAAGCUUGGCUUCAUCUGGUGAGUAGGCUGAUGGAGGUUCAGCUUACUCACCAGCCUGAUCAGUUGUGCUGGAAGCUUACUACUUCUGGGGAAUUCACAGUCAAGUCGAUGUACCUUGAUGUCAUCAAUUCUAGUGUUAUUCCCAGUUCCAUACAUAUUUGGAAAGUUAAGGUUCCGCUAAAAAUCAAAGUGUUUAUGUGGUUUGUGCAUAAACAAGUUAUCUUAACGAAAGAUAAUUUGGUUAAGCGCAACUGGACAGGCUCUACUAGGUGUAGUUUCUGUGAUCGGGAUGAAGAUAUCAAGCACCUCUUCUUUGAUUGCCCGUUGGCGAGGGUUCAGUGGCGCUCGGUGCAAAUUGCCUUUAACAUUACUCCUCCGAGUUCGGUCGGGUCGUUAUUUGGAACGUGGCUUGUUGGGAUAGAGUCCGAAACAGCUAGACAAAUUCGCGUAGGAGCAUGUGCAUUGUUAUGGGCAAUUUGAAACUGCAGAAAUGAUUUGGCUUUUAACAGAACAUCAACUAUCCAUUUUUUGCAGGUUUUAUUCCGGGCUACUGCGCUAAUCUGUAUGUGGUCCUUACUCACUCCGAUGGAGGACAGGGAGCGUUUGGUUACUGGAUCUCUCCGGUGGGAGAUGGUAGCGCGGGAUAUCUUCAACCGGUUUGGAUGGCGGUCAUGUAAUAUGAUAGGCGAUUAGUUUACCUAUCUAUAUUUUGCCAGCCGGUUGUGGCUUUUGGGCCUUUUUUGUCUUUGUUUCUGUUGCUCUUUGUGAGCCAGCUUUUCUUUUUGUUGCAGACUGCAAGACUUUGUUGAACUACUCUAUUUUAUAAUAAAUGUGACCAUAUGCAUCGUUCUGAUGCAGAGGCCGGGAGUCUCCCUUUUCAAAAAAAAUGUAUGCAUAAGGUAGAUUCUCAUAUUGUGAUCACACGUAGUGUAGCAUAAUUCUGUAACUGCAAGCUAGUACUCCAUGCAUGCAUCAGCCAUGCAUUCGUAAGAGGCUGCCUAGCUCAGAGCCAGAGGGCGCCGGCCUGGCGUAGGAGCGGCACGAGCUGGCCGCCGAGGUGCAGCGCCAUGACCUUGUCGGUGGGCCCGACGAGCGCGCCGCCUAUGAAGACCGCCGGCACGGGCGGGCUCCGGCCGACCAUGCCAGCGAGCGCCCUCUCAACGUCCUUCCCGCGGGGGUCCUUGACCAGCUCGUGCACCGUCCAGCUGACGCCCAUCUCCGUGAAGAGCGUCUUCACCACGUGGCACAUGCAGCAGUUGCUCGUCCCGAAGAUCACCACCACGCGCUGCGACGCCAGCCGCCUCACCCUCUCCGCCAUUGCUGGUAGCUCUCUCCUUCCCUAGAUCUCGAUUGAUCGAUCUUAACUAUCCUGAGGUAGCUAGCUAGCGAUGUUUUUGUUUGUGAUGGUGAUGAGAUGGCCCGAAACGGUGCUAGCUAUUUAUAGAUGAUGACUGGGGGCAAGUGGACCGUUAGAGUGAUGGGGUGAUCUGUGCAAUAUCACGUUGUGCGUGGCUAAUCGGGGAAGAAUAUAUAAGUGUUCUCUAUGAAGAGAUUCUGCCACUUUUAUUGCUUUUUGGGAGGCGCAAAAUCUCACGGUUACCUAUAUUAUUCGCGAAAUUACUAAACUUUGUACGAUGAGUGUGACGUACGCGAUAUGGUUCUUUUUUAACGGGUGUUUCGAAUAACUGAAAAUGGAGGUGAAUUAAUAUUCGACUUGCUUGAAUCGGGCUACCAUGUAUUCUCGACGUGUCACCGCAUCGUCAUCAUGAAUUUCCACGUUGAUGUCGGAAGAAUAAGUAGGCAACGAAAUUCCAACACCGACUAGGUGGCAGUAGGUACUCAAAGAAUAAAGCGUCCACUGAUACCAUGUGAAUGUCGGCAGAAUAAGCAUGCAACCAGAAGGCAGCCUGAACCAUGUAAGUGCAUCAUUUCCACUCUGUAAACAUUAAGUACAAUAAAUAUGUAAUAAGCCUUCCGUACAAAAGUAGUAAAAUUUGUGGGAUGUAUACUUGAUGCAUCUCUUAUCAUCCAUCAAAAGUUCGCCAGAAGUAUUAUAGAAAUUCAUGAGAAGUACAAAUACAUCAAACAUAAAAAAAUACAUCAAGGUCUCUAGACCACCAAACAACCAUUGCGGCCAUCAAACCGAUGAGCUAAUUAAUGUUGCCACUUCCAUACCGGAGCUGACCUGGCCUUGUCGAUGAUAGCCAGGAUGUGUUCGUGCACAUGCCCCUAAGAGAAUCUCCAACAGAGGCGCAAAAAUAUUGAGUGCUAAAAUAGUUUUAGAGCACCACUGUAGCACUUUUAGCGCGCCGCGGCCAACAUUGGUUUUCCACAUGCCCAAAAACGCGCGCUCAAAAAAACACGCAAUGCAAAUUAUGAAUCGCACGCGAUCUAUUGCCCAACAUUUGCAGCGUGCGAUAGCGCUUUUUAGCGCGUGCACUAUGCAGCAUCUGUUGGAGCGUCUCCAGCGCCCCAAAAGGAUAGUUUUUAGCGCGCGGAGCAUUUUUUUGUGCGCCUGUUGGAGAUGCUCUAAGGACCAAUGCCUCACAUCCGGGGUCAUCGUCGUUGAACACUUGAAUUGAUCUGAAGAACCUGAAACCAAAUCUCGUCGUCAUGUACGCACGACAAGAAACCCUAUAACCUCGCCAACCCCGAGCACAUGCAAUUUACGCUGGAGCUCCAUCCGUCACCAUGGACGACCUUGAGGAGGAUAUGAACCCAGAUAUGACUGACUCGAUGAAGAAGCGUUAUCAUCUGUCCGAGCGUCUCCCUGUGAGAACUAAACGCCCAAUAUAUCUACUAACCGAAGUUGAGACACCGGGAUUCCUAUUACCGUCACCGGACGUCGGAGCGGCAGACAUAGGGAAGACGAAUCCACGGUGUCAGGACCCCGACUCGAUGUCACAUCGAUCUAGCCGGUAACACUUCAUAUCUCUUUGCGGCCUCACGCACGGUAUUCCCACGGGUGUCGCCUUACCUUUGCCCGGGACCGUUUGCGCCUUUUGGCUCACGUAUAUGAUAGUGUCGCUAGCAUCCAUAUGAUAAAGAGCCCGGGCUGACAUGACUAGUCGUAAACCCAAAGUGGCACAGACUUACAGGGACAGGCAUCCAUGACCCAGCUUCGAACGUGUCGGUCAUCAGCAAUUGGGUCCGGGCUGUAGCACUGGGCUAGCAGGACUCCGGUAAACCGGGCUGUAGCGGGCUAACAGGACUCCGGUACUCAAAGCGUGACAUUUCCCCGAAGGGACAGACACAGGAACGAAGAAGGACACAUGCCGGCCAGCCUAAGUGUUCCAGAGCAGUAGCAAGCUACCAUGGCUCAGCGGUAACACUAGGAGACAUUUCCCGGUAAGAGAGGCUACUAAAGAUAAACAACUAGAUAGUCAGAUCCCACACAUACCAAGCAUUUCAAUCAUACACACAAUAUGCUCGAUAUGUGCAAAUACAACGAAGCAUCACAACAUGACUCUACGACACAAGUACUUUAUUUAAGGCUCAGUGAGCCAUACAUAACAUACACACAAAGGUACGGGUCUCACGACCCAAUCAUACAAGUCAUACAGUCAUACAAGCUAACAGCGGAAGUACAUUGUCUGGGUACAGACAACUAGUAAAAUAAAAGAGGCUUGGAAGCCUAACUAUACUACGUGGUCCUUCACAAGCUCAGGGUCACCACCUGGGUCUUUAGCCUACUCGUUGAUGUCAACGUCUACAUAGAACCCAUCAGAAGGGGUUGCAGCGUCUUCUGUAAAAAUGUAGAUUAUAGCAACAUGAGUACAAAGGUACUCAGCAAGACUUACAUCAGAUCCUACAUACAUGCAUAGUAUCAAAAGGGUUGGUGGAGUUAUUGCAGCAAGCCAGCUUUGACUCUUGGCUAGACUAUCCUACGAUACUCCAUUUGAAAUAGUUUUGCGCACACGAGUCCACUAUUCACCACUUCAAUACACUACCGAGGAUCCACCUCCGUCUUCCUACGGAAGAGCCAUCCUCGGCACUCACACUUAUCUUGAGGCUUUUAUCAGUUUCCAUUUACUUGUCUAUGAACUGUAUAGGCAACCAAGUAGUCCUUUACCGCGGACGCGGCUAUUCGAAUAGAUCAUGUUAACCCUGCAGGGGUGUACUUCUUCAUACAUGUUUCCACCACUUAGCGUCUGCACACGACAUGUGCUCGGCAGACUUCAAGCGAAAGCCGACGUGGGUGUAGACCACGACCUACCUAAACACUUAAGCCUCUAGUCCAGGUUUAUCGCCUAUUCAGGUUCCAUCCGCAGGGAGUCCGGCCGAGGUUUCCCAUACGGCCCCGAACGAUGUGAACAGGGUUCCCGAGAUACCUAACGGGUAUUCGGUACACCGUGCCACGUACCUACCGCAUCACAGCCCACCCCUACGGUCAGCGCUGUCCACGGCCUCCAGUAGGCUACAAACACCAGAAACUACUUGCAACUCCUGGACAGAGAGCUAAGGUGGAUAAGAAGUCGAGCGGGGUCAUAUUUCAGGGCCCAAUGUAUGGUAGUAGCUGAUUCUUAAAUCACACAUACAGAUCUCAGUGCUUAAGGUCGGCUUCAAUGAAACAACCCACCAUGUACUCCUACAUGGCCUCUCAUCGAUACCUUUACCAAAUCGUGUUCACCACACCACUCUCAUUACCGACAUUAACAUUUCACUCUAGCCCAUCACCCAGAUGAACCAGACCUGACACAACUCUAAGCAUAGCAGGCAUAGCAAGGUAGGAACAACACAUACAUAUGGCUCAAUCAACUCCUACACAUGCUAGUGGGUUUCAUCUAGUUACUGUGGCAAUGACAGGUCAUGCAGAGGAAAUGGGUUCAACUACCGUAGCACACAGCAGUUUGAAUCGCGUUGUCUUAAUGCAGUAAAAGAGAGCAGGAGCGAGAACAUGGGAUUGUAUCGAUAUGAUCAAAUGGUUGGUUGCUUGCCUGAUGGUUCGUUGCACGGAUACGGUUCUUCGUUAGGGUAAUCACGGUACUCCUCGGGGACAGAUCCUGUCGCAAAGGACAUCGAUACACAAGCAUCACCAAACAAUGUGCAACAAUAUGAUGCAUGCAUGAAACAUGGCAAUAUGAGUGUGUUGGGCUAAUGCAACUAAAACCAGAUGUGUUUGAACAAAUUUGAAUCAAGGAUUCAAAUUUCAAAUUCAAAUAUGGCCUUUUAAAGUGCUUUUCCUUGUUCUGAUUAAAACAUCAAUUUAACUUGUUUGAUCAUGCAUGAAAAUAGUACAGAUGGAUAGAUUGGAUUUUUCUGAUCAUUUUUCAUAUAUAAUUUGUCCAAUUUGGAGUUACAGAAUAAAAGUUAUGAAUUUUUGAAGUUUAAAUAAUAUUCUGAAUUUCCUGAUUUAAUUUAAAUCCAGAAAUAUCAUUUACUGCGUCAGCCUGACAUCACAGUGACAUCAGCAGGUCAACAGAGCUGGCUCGGGUCAAACCUGACGUGUGGGGUCCACACGUCAGUGUCACAGGGGCUAAUCCCGCGUUGACCCCGGGCUGGUUAGCUUUGACUAAGCCCUGGGCCCACUUGUCAGCGUCUGUAGGUGGUGGUUUAGUGGCUAAUUAGCUAGGCCACGUCAGCUCGCCGGAGUUCUGGCCGGCGGCGACCAACAGUGCGGCGGCGAUAGUGGUUUUGGUCGUUUCGGCCACCAAAUGGACCGCGGAGAUCACCGGAGUGAAGCUGAGGACGACCCGCGGCUCUUGGCGGAGUCCGUUGGGGUCGGGGUGGCCGGAGUUGACGGCGGUGAGCUCGGCUGCGGCCGCCGGGGUUCGGUCGUGCACGGGAGUGGUGCUGGAGCUCGAAGUCGAGCAAAGUGAGGCGCUAGGGAUGCUCUACUGGGUCCUGUGAACGCGUUGGACUCGCCGGGGUGACCAAAUGGUCACCGGAGCUGCGUCGACGGCGAGCUCGGCGACGGCGGAGGUUCGGCCGUGGUGGAGAUGAAGCUACGGUGAGGGAUCGAGGGGGAGAAGAGGGGGAAACGGUGGCGUAGCUCACCGCGGUUGCAGUGGGCGUCGAAGCGGGCUCGGGGACGCGCUGGAGACGGCGAAUUCGUCGGCGACGGUGGUCGGAGCCCGAAGAGGGGAACGGCGACGUGGCGGCGAUGCAGGGCUUCCGGGGACUCGUGGAGCGGUGGGGAGGACGAGGGACUUGUGGCGGAGCUUCUGAUCUACUCGGGGGAGCGAGGGGUGGCCGGAGACAGUGGCUACGGCGAACGGCGGCGACGGUGUGCUUCGGCCGAGAGCGAGAGAGAGCAAGGGAGAAACGGGGGAGAGUGAGCGAGAGCAGGGGGGAAUCGGGACGGGCUGCGGACGUCAUCCACGCGGCCAGGAGGGCGUCGGCAAGCAGGAGGUGGCCGCGCGGCCGCGCGCGCGCGAGCACGCAGCAGCUUCGGGGCGUGGGGAGGAAGACGACGGGGAGCUACAGUGUUGGGCUGGGUCGGCUGCUAGCUGGGCCGGCCAGCUGGCUGGGCCGCACAGGUAAGUCUUUCCCCUUUCUUUUUUGUUUUCUGUUUUAUUUAAUAUAUCUGCAACUGUGUUGAAUUAAUUAAAAUACAUAGGCAACUCCAAAAUUCACCAAACUACUCCUGGUCCAUAGUUGGAUUAUUUCCAACAUGAAACAUUUUAGUUUGGAGAUAUUUGAGCAUUUAAAUAUUUUAUAUUAUUUUAAAUGCCCAAAUUCAGAUAUCUAUGAUUUAAUUCAAAGACCCUAUGAUGGCCUAGAAAAAUGUGCACCACUUUUGUCAGAGGUUCUGAACCAAGGCUAAAAUGAUGGACAUUUUAGAAGGGCAUUUCAGGUUCAUUGAAAAAUUAUUUUAGUAACCCUAGUUGGUUUCAGAGGGGACUGGGGGUUCUGUCAUCCCCAUUUCAAGUUUCUGAUGAAUGAGUAAACAUGAUGCAACACUCUAAUGCAUGACUAGCUAGGGUGUGACACACGGGCUCAUCAGCGGAGAUCAAGGAGAGGAAAGCUUUGCCCUACCCGCCUGACGAGAGAGGAAAGAAAUAUUUCACUAGAUGAUGCGGCUAUAAGUUACUCCCUCCGUCCUAUAAUAUAAGAAUGUUUUUAACACUAGUGUAGUGUUAAAAACGUUCUUAUAUUUUGCGCCAGAGGGAGUAUAUCGGAUUGUUAUCACAAAAUUGACGGUAGAGUUUUCGGAAGCUGAAAUUAAGACGGCUUUGUUUCAAAUGGGGCCAACCAAAGCCCCUGGGCCGGAUGGUUUUCCGGUGAUGUUUUAUCAACGACACUAGUCGUUGCUAAAGAAUGAUGUGUGCACAGGGUGAAAGAUUUUCUGUACGGGGUAGCAACACCGGAGACGUUUAAUGAUACGGUCAUUGUCAUGAUUCCUAAAGUCAACUCACCGGAGUUGAUGUCACAGUUUAGACCGAUUAGUUUAUGUAACGUGUUGUAUAAAAUCGCUACGAAGGUGCUAGCGAACCGGCUAAAGGUGAUCCUCCCAAUCAUGAUCUUGGAGGAGCAAAGCGCGUUUGUACUGGGGAAGCUUAUCACAGAUAAUGUUCUGGUCGCCUAUGAGUGUGUCCAUGCUAUUAGAAAGAGAACCCGAAAGAGACCGCUUUGUGUUAUCAAGCUGGAUAUGAUGAAGGCGUACGACCGGGUUGAGUGGUCGUUUCUGGAAAGGAUGAUGACCAGGUUUGGGUUUGCCGAGUCUUGGGUUCAAAUGAUCAUGUGUUGUGUCACGUCGGCUCGUUUCUCCGUUAAGCUUAAUGGAGGGAUAUCACACACCUUUAUGCCGUCGAGGGGCCUUCGCCAAGGGGACCCCUUGUCACCGUACCUGUUUCUUUUUUGUGUGGAAGGUUUUUCGGCUCUAUUAAAACAGGCGCAGCGGGCUGGUGAGCUCAAGGGGGAAUCGUUUGGGAGCACUGGCCCCACGAUAGCCCACCUUCUUUUCACGGAUGACAGCAUCGUGUUUCUUGAAGGCUCUCGAGGUAAUCUUGAGACGCUUAAGGGCAUUUUGCAGGCUUAUGAAGUGGCUUCCGGCCAGAAAGUGAAUAUGCAAAAAUCUUCUAUCUUCUUUGGGAAAGGUAGCUCCAACACACACAAAGAACAUCCUAAGGAGGUCAUUGGAAUUCAGUCGGAAGCGUUAAGUGAAAAAUAUUUAGGGCUUCCUACCAUUGUUGGUAGCUCAAAGGAGGGGACGUUCAAAUAUGUCAAGGAGAGUGCUAAGGGAAAGGUUACUGGAUGGAAGGGGCAGGGUUUGUCGAAGAAGGCACGGGAGGUGUUGGUAAAAUCCGGCCUCCAAUCUACCCCAACUUUUACCAUGAGCUGCUUCCAACUCACCAAGAAAUUGUGCGGGAACCUGACAUCCAUCUCUUCGAACUUUUGGCGGGGUGAAGCAAACGGUGAAAAGAAGGUUCAUUGGAUAGCCUGGAAGAAGAUGUGCAUGAGUAAGAAAGAUGGAGGAAUGGGCUUUAGGUAUAUGGAGGCUUUCAACCAGGCUCUUUUAGCAAAGCAAGCAUGGAGGUUACUGCACUCCCCGUCCUCUCUUUGUGCCAGCGUUUUGAAGGCUAGAUACUACCUGGAUGGUUCAAUCCUAAAUGCCACUUGUCCGAGUGGAGGUUCGUACACGUUCAGGAGUAUUCUACAUGGCCGAGAUCUAUUGUUGGAUGGAUUGGUCUGGAGAGUGGGUGAUGGCACGAGUAUAAGAAUUCACCAUGAUAACUGGUACCGAGGAAAGGAUACCUUCGGCCACUGGGCCAGGUUUACGUACAUGGAAUAUCGCGGGUGAGUGAUCUGCUGAAUGAAGAUGGUGAUGCCUGGGACCGAGCCACAUUGGAUGCAAUGUUUACUCCGGAUGAUGUGCAAGAUAUAUUUCAGAUCACCAUAGGGGGUCAUGGGAUGGAAGAUGUCCCGGCUUGGAAUUUUACAAACAACGGGCAGUUUACGGUCCGGUCGGCCUAUCACUUAUGCAUGGACAAGAAGAGAGCAAGAACCGGACAGCCGGGCUCAUCGUCUUCAGUUCCGAAGCAUCGGGGCUGGCAGGCAUUAUGGGGAACCAGUGCACCGGGCAAAGCGAUUAUACAUGCAUGGAGACUGAUGAAAAAUGGGUUGGCAGUAGGAGCUGAGCUACUGCGAAGGCAUAUCAAGGACGGGGUGUUCUGCCCAGCAUGUGGGCGUGAGGAGUCUCUACAUCAUUGGUUCUGGUCAUGUUGCCACUCGGCUAGAUUUUGGAAAGAGUUGGGCUCGGUGUUGGGGGUGAAGGUGGCUAACCCACCUGUCUCGGCGUGCUCCCAGAGUCGACUCACGGAUUGGAUGCUGCAGUGGCUGACGGAGGCAGAUGAGGAAGCGAAAUCUAUGAUGAUACAAGGCCUAUAUGCGAUGUGGCUGGCCAGAAACGACGCGCGGGAAGGAAGGAGGAUUGAGGAUCCUAUGCAGGUUGCGAGAAGGGUAGCGACACUGAUGGAAGAAUGGAAGAAGGUUCAUGGGGUCCGGGCUCCAACUGAAAAACAUGCUGUCAAGGAACAAUGGAAACCACCGGAGAUAGGAUGGGUGAAAGCUAACGUUGAUGGGGCCAUGGUUAAGGAAGGGAUGGGCGGUGGUGUUGGCAUCAUUUUCCGGGAUGAAGAGGGCGCAUUCAAAGGGGCGGCCACCCACUUUUUCCCAGACUUUCCCAAGCCAGAGACAGCAGAGAUACUAGCAUGUAGGAAAGCGGUGCAAUUGGCAAUCCAGCGGGGUAUUCAGAAGUUGCACGUGGAAACGGACACACAGGUGGUCGCCAGGAUGAUCGCUGGGAUGGAGCGCAACUUAUUGCCGGUGGGACAAGUGAUUGAAGAGGUGAAAGCUAUGGUAAGGACUAGAGAGGAGUUCAAGAUCACAUGGGUCAGGAGGACUGCUAAUGGGGCAGCCCAUUUGCUCGCUAAGUUAGGUGUUACCUCUCGUCUUUCGGGUUUUUCGGACUUAGUUCCCUCAGAUUGUAUUCUCAGUACUGUCUCAAAUGAGAUUCCUACCAUAGGUUAAUAAAGUGGGGUUUUGACGCUAAAAAAAAGCAAGAUGUACAUCCACUAAAACAAGACAUGCAUAGCUAAAUCAAGAUGUCAGCUUUUUUUCCUGAAAAAUGUCAGUUUUUUCAAAGAAAGAAAGAAGAAAUGCCAUAUAUUAAAGUCGACCAACCAAACCUAUGACCAUCACUACAGAAUUUAGUUACAGCUAAACCUUUCGGGAAAUAAAAAAUACAAAGCAAAGAGUGGUACAAAACAAUUGAUUUGAUGGCGAACUCAUUAUCUUCCGCACACACAUAAAAGAAUGAUUCACUUCUUUACGUGAGACGACAUAGCCGGUUGCCGUCUCCGCAGAAGGGUUCUCUGCCUUCCUCCGGCACCGUCGCUGGUCCACCCCACCUCCGUUGGCCUUAGGGGCAUGGAGGGGUAGUGGAUCUCGGCCCUUACUAAUGGGAGGGCUUCAUUUUUAGAUUUUCUUUUUGAGUUUUGUUAAGGUUGGUGUCCUGCUGAGGAAGGCAAGACGGCGGCGGCUCUCUGAAGAUGGAAUAAAUGUCUUUACGCCUAGCCCCUGUUUCGGUGAUGCAUGUAAUAUCGUCGAUGGGCGUGUGUAGGUGUGUCUCCGACGGAUCUGUCUAUGGUGGAGUUGCUCGGAUCUGUUUGUCGUUCAUCUUUGUUAGUGUGUCUUCGCGUUAGAUCCUUCCAAUAUGCACUCUUCAUCCGCGGCGGUUUAUGUUCUGGUGCAUUGGUUCUAUGGGGCCUUAGCAGAACGACUUCUCGACUGUCUACUAUAACAAGGUUUGUCCGGCUCCACCAAGGGAGGGGCGAUGACAACGACAUGCCUUCGGUUCGCUUCAGUGCUUGUAGUCGUCGCUAGGUGGUCUGCGGAUCUGGAUGUAAUUUUUAUUAUUUUUAGUGUUCGUUGUAUUAUCAUGAUUGAAAAUGAAUAGAUUGAAAGUGUUUUUUAAAGAAGCAAAAAACUAAAAGAAAAAACUUGCAAUGGUAGCAAUAUGCUUUCCCAAAAUUUGGUUUGGUGAGUGCUUAUAUAAGUAAUCAGAGAUUCAGAGCUCUCAAGUGUCAAUACGCCAUCCUACAUAUUUUUCAGGCGUAGCUACGUACGUAUGCGAUGCCCGAUGUGAACCGGCCAUGUCGCUGCAUGCGGGUACUACUACGUACUUGCCCGCCCGCCCGCGCGCACAGCUGCCGGUCAACCGAUUCCUGCCUAGACAGGACAAUCCUACCUGACGGAGAUGCUAUGCCAAUAUGCGAUCACGAUACGAUCCAGCCGCCUUUCCCUCCGGCGCCGGUCGCCGGUGUAUACCGAUACCGGCCUGCGUGGCGGCGGCGCACGUCGGCAGGUGGAAGCCGUGGAGAUGGUCGACCGGCUCAUGUUCUCGACGGACGGGAACCAACCGAAAGCUGAACCAAGUAUAGGAUCCGGGUCUGAGGCCAAACGCGCCCAAACGCACGCAUGCAUAUAUUCGCGUAGUUCACUUAGUUCUCGUGGAGAAAGCGAGUAUCAAUUAGUAGUAGGAGUAGUAUAUAAAUCAGAUCGAAUCGCGCGCACACAGGAUUUCAUUUCACGUUUUCGUUUCUCCCGCACGCGGGUUUAGGCAGCUCGUAUCAGCAUCCAUAGGUGAUAGGUCGGUCGGCCCGCUCGCACUGCCGUAGCUGGUCGUGACGUCCAUCGUCGCGAGAAUGAGCGGAGGUCAACUUCAACAUUUUAACUAGAUCCUCUAACAUAUAGGGAAGGAAACUCACGGUGUUAUAAUGCUAACCUAGUGUAAAAUGAAGAAGGUAAGUUAGGGACUGUUAGCAGGAUGUUUGCCGUUGGUAUUUACUAUAGAUAUAAAUAAUCUAAAACUAAUUUUAUUUCACCAUCAAUUUGGCUGUAUGUAAUUGCUAUAAGUGUAAACAAUAGAUUAGUAAUUUUUAAAUUAAUUUAAAUCAUUUUAGCAUUAAUCUUAUGGAUUGAAAGAAGAGAAGUUAGGGUAUUGUAGUUUCUCUAACUUUCCUUCUUUAUGUUAGAGGAUCCAAUUCCCUCUUGUUGGUGGCCCCUAUGGCUGCUUAUUUUGGGUGCCCGGCAACCCAGAUCUGGGGUUCGUCUUUGUGCGGGUGAAAGGAGCAAGUUUUGGGGGCAUUGGGUGGCAGGAUUGCGCUAGUGCAGCAGCAGGGGUGGCCAGCUGCAUGCUUGCGGCCCACCGCCAUGCGUGUGGUGGGUAAGGCUGGGUCCCUUCUGUCACCAGAGCAGCGGCUCCGGACGGUGGGUACGACGGCAUCGUUUCGAUAGGUGUCGUUGCGCGGGUGCUUGUGUGUCGCCUCGUCCAUGUGGGCAGCGAGGUGGCUCACUCAGGUGGCGUCCGACACGCGGGUGUGGCCGUCACUACCAUUCGGACUGUUCCGGGAGUCGUUUGCAUCUCUCCUUGGUUGACCAUGGCUGAUGGACCUGGUUGGUGGGGUCUAGUCCUGAGCGAAAGCUCUGCCUGGUCGCGUCGGUGUCCGUGAUGGCGACACUCUUAUGCACCAUUUCCCUCCUUAAAGGUGUCAUUGUGGGUGGUCACAUUCACCAUUAGCUCUGGGUGAAAACCCAUGGGAUGGCAAGUUCUAGACUGGGCGGUGGCGGCGAUGUGUCGUUGUGUCCUUGGAGACCCCAUCAAGUGAGCAAGGUCCAUGCUACUGGUCGCCAGGGUGAGCUGGUGGCUUCUUCUCGUCGUGUGUGCAGUCCAUGCAUCGUGCUCUCAUGACGAGUGUGGUUUGGCGAGGCGGUUGUGCUCGAAGACCUCCCUUUGGUGCUCUCACACUAGUCUCCAUCACGCUCUAGGGUGGUGAGUAUUCCAUCAUCCGACGGUGCAGCGCCCUUCGAGCCGGGCGAGGAGCUAGGGGCUCCUUCUAACGAUGGAACAGGAUGGCACUGGUCAGCCAUGCGCCCAAGCGAUGGCAGUGUCAUAGCCCCUUUCUCGGCUGAUCCCCUUUCAAGAUGGCUCCAUUCACAUCAUUGGCGCUUCGGGCAUGUGCGAGGGCUCUAGGGUCUCAUUUUCUUACCUGUAUUGAGUUGUUUUGCUGCUCCUGGGCAUCCAUGUAUCUUGUCGGAGCUUUUUAUUUCGCUUUUUUGGGGGGUUGUGUUGUAUGUAUCAUUGGUUGUUUGGACUUCGUGUCCUCGGCUGUAAGGGCAUCAUUAAUUUAACCCCGGGCAUUAAGCCUUUUAUCUAAAAAACAUUUAAACUAGUUAAAAAACAGUGUUAAAAAGACUCUAAAAAAUGCAAUUUUUGAGUAAACUGCAUCUUUUGCGGAAUUGAUUAAAAAUUGACGUUUAUUUUUUAGGAAUUUGGGCCGAACAUUCUACAUACCGUUGAUUCCAUGCACGAGUCGUAGAGCACAAACAAUUAGCCAUGGCAGAUUUUCAUUUUGUUCAGGAUAGAGGACCAUCGCCGCGAAUGCCUCCUCCCCUCCCCUCCCCUCACUCCUCUAUCUUCCCAUCCUUCUUCCCCCACUCCCCCUCCCAUUUCUCUCCCACACCGUCACUCCAUCGCCUAUUCCUUCCUCCUCCCCUUUUGUUUUCUCCGGCGAUGGCACCAACGGCGUUUCCCAGCAGUAGCGCAGUGGCGUGGCGCAGAGGCCGAGGCUCACGCGCGUGAUGCGGUAGGCGGAUUUCGGGCUAAGAGAGUUGUCGGAGAGAUGGAAGGGAGGCGCGGCGGCGUUGCUCGAGGAGGCUAGGCAUGGAUGGGGAGCAGAGUUGUCCCCGACACGACACUGCUCGAGGUGUGGCGCUGCUCGAGGAGGUGUGGCGAGGAGACAACGUCGACCUUUUCCCCAGAUGUGGUGCUCCCUGUAGUCAUAAGUUUGGGGGAGACAUAAAGGCUCGGGCUUGAGGACAGAUGUGGCGGUCCUCAACUUCGUCGAGCUGCAAGGCCUCGUAAUGUCCCUGCUCACCGCGGUCCACCUUCCUCGUUAACACGGGGGCUAAUGACGCGGCAGAGGCCCACGCUUAUCUGCUCGUGCCACCCCAAGUGGGGUGCAGAGCAUGUCGCCGAGGUGACGCCGCAGCCGUAGUUUGAGCUGGACGACCAUGACGACUCACCGUACAAGACUCCGGCGUUGGAUCCCUCCCUUCCCUGCAGGUACCAUCCUAUUCAACCAUCUCUCUUCAUUAUUGUAAACUUCAUUUUUUGCAAAAUUGCCAUGCCAUCAGACAGUAGAGGCAUAACAGAUUUUAUGAGUGCAGUCUCACUAUAUUUGUAGAGGAGCAUCAUCAUCGGUUUUAGAGAAGAGAGAGCAGAUAUCUACUAGAUUAUCUCCAUGUGCAUCGGCUAGACAAGCGCACAAAACACCAUGGUAAUUGGUAAUUUAGUUACACCAUGGAAACUUUCUUAAUAAGAUGGCAUUUUUUUCUAUGGAGCAUGUAGGGAACAUGGCAAACUAAUUAGUUGCCAUGCUCCACAAACACCAUGUUAAUGUUCCCUACUUCUCACCAAAACCAAGUGUUUGUGGAGCAUGGCAAAUUUAAGAACAAAACGUUCCAUUACAUGGCAAUAUACUUAUGCUCUAUAACAUGGCAAAUCUACUAAUGCGCCCACGGUUUUGCUAUUUGACAAAAGUGUUAAGGUGGUGGCAAUUCUUAGAUUAAUGGUUUUAUACCCGAGCUCCAAACUCUAUAUCAUUUAUCGAGAGAAGUGUUCACUGGGGUAGCAAUUCUUAGAUUACAUUUUUUUGUCAAAGUUUUGCCAUGUAUGUCAUCAGUUUCAGGGAAUUGCAAUGUUUACAUUGCAGUUUUUUUAGGGCAUCCAGUCUAUAAAUGACGACAAUUUUUGUUAUUGUUUUGCCAUUUACACUAGAAACCUUUUUUUGUUAGAGUUUCUGUGUAUCCCUCAUUUUGUUGGCACGCCAUAUUUCUUAUAAUGACAUGACAAAUUUUGUGAAUCCAUUUUGUACUAUUCCAUGGCAAUCUGUAUCCACAUAGCCAUGUUUUUGGCAUGAUUCAAGGAGCUUUUUUUUACCAAUGUAGACAUGUUUUGCAUAGUUUUUCACACAUUUUUUCAUAGCAAUUUAGCUCUCUUUUCCCCAAUACCACGAGUUUUUACUCAAUUUAGCCAUGCAAAACAAAAUUUACCAUCAUAGUAGGCAGUCAUCUUUUGGCGUCAUACGUACACAUUGCCAUUAUACAAAUACUUUUCUUUACAUAUUUUCCGCAUUACACACAGUUGCCAUGCUAAUACUAUCGUAAUGAGAGGUAGGAUCAUUUUGGCAUGUUCUACAUAGGGUUCUAAUUUCAUUUUUCAUGCACCAUUCCAAUUUUGGCAUUUGCCAUGGCAAUUUUUGUUCCCCUUUCAUGAUUUUUACAUACACUGCAAAACAUCAUGGCAAAUUAUUGCUAAAACACCAUGGCAAAUUUUAAUAUGCAUAUGCAAUGGUUCUUAUACAAAGCAUGACAGUUAUAGCUAAAAGACCAUGGGAUUUUUAAUUUGCAUAUACCAUGGCAAUUUUGAUUCUUUUUCUUGUGUUUAUAUACCCGGAGAAUUUCUUAUAAAAAUCAUGGGAAUUUUUUAUUAAAUAUCACGGCAAAUUUUAUUACAGACCUACCAUGGCAACUUUGUUUAUAAUUUGUGUUUGUAUUGUUCAUUCUAUUUUCCAUGGCAAUUUUUAGUUGAACGCCAUGAAAAAUUUCAAUAUACAUCUGCCACAACAUGUUUUUCCUAAUUUGUGUUAUUUUACAUACGCGGAAAAUUCUCAUACAACACAUGGAAAUUUAUAUUAAAAUAGCAUGGAAAAAAUUUAAUAUCAAUCUGCCAUGGAAUUUUUUUGUUCAUUACUUUUAUUUAUACUAUUCAUUGUUUUUUCCACAACAAAUUGCCAUACAAAACAUGGUGCCUUUUUUAAAAAAUAUGACCAAUUUAAAUCUGAAUUUUCCAUGGCAACUUUUUUAUAAUUUGUGUUUGUAUUGUUCAUUCUAUUUUUCCAUGGCAAUUUCCAUACAAAGCAUGGCAUUUUUAAUUAAAACACCAAGGCAAUUUUCAAUAUACAUCUGUUAUGUCAUUUUUUCCAUAAUUUGUGUUAUUCUACAUACGCAGAAAAUCUCUCAUACAACACAUGGUAAUUUAAAUUAAAACGGCAUGGAAAAUUUGAACUUUUGAAUCUACCAUGGCAAGUUUUUGGUCAUAUUUUUUGGUUCUACUCUUCAUUCUACUUUUUCCCAUGGUAAUUUUUGCCACGGCAAUUCCGCAAAAUUGCUAGGUGAGCAUUAUUAGGGAUGUUGCUAGAAUAUUUUUGUCAUGCGUCUUUUUAGAAAUAAAAAUGUUGUAAAACUUGACAUUGUAAAAUAGUCCUGUCAACUUGACUGGAUUUUUUUUGGAAAUUUUCACUUGCAAUAUCAAAAUACUUCUGUCAGACAAAUCCUAUAGUUUGUUGUCGGAGAUAGUCUAUACUCUGUCAAUUCUUUCUUUGCACGAGCAAAGUUUCUCUUCAGAGUAACACAUGCUUCCUGAUCAAUUUCACCUUGAUUGGAUAAUAUUGUUGCUUCAAUUUGUAAAAUUCUAUGACGACAAUUUCUUGAUUCCUCACCAGUAUCACCAAUAAAACUUUUAAUUCUUGUAUUAAACUGUUGUCGACCCUGCUUGGUUGGUGCAACGCUUCAUUAUGUGGAAUUUCGGUAUCAUCAGUACCCCUCUGUUUAUGAAAACAUGCAAGUCUCAUGAUACAAGAACAAUAUUAUAGAAUAUUGAGAACUUGUAAUUUUUUUAAUUGUAUCAAAUAUUAAUAAGUAUCAUUUUUUUAGGGACAUACCACUAUGAUGUGGCUACAAAAAACACCAAAAUGUUGAUAAAGACCACACUCACAGGUAUAAUAACCAACUGAUUCAUCCACUGUUAUUUUGUAUGUUACUUUGCACCAAGCAUAUAUAUAUUAGUUCUGCCUGAACAUGCUUCGCCACAAAUAUAUUUGUGUCACUCCUUGGGACAAGAACAUAAGAAGCUAAUUUCAGCAGUUCAUUGAUGAAUAAUUUAUACAUCUUGCUUCUAUAUAUGACUGAAGCAUGUUUUUCGAACGGAAAACCCCAUUGUACUUUUAGACUUUUCUAAAAAAAAGAAAUGAAAAUAGAUUUAGUUUUUUAUGUAAUGAAAAGUUUGCUAACCUCAAAUGCAAGAAGACAAAAUAUGAUUAUGUAAGAUAUACCUGUUUGCUUUUUCGUUCAUUAUCUGCAUUUGUCUCUGUCAUCAGUAAGUUUAGUACAUUGAGUUAUAAAACUAUUCAGUGAAGAAUUACGUGAUAAAGAAUUUUUCAGAACCAUGUUUGCACUUUCACUACGUUGUGUGCUACACAUAUUUGCACAAAAUACUCCAUAAAAAUAUGGCUUUGCCCACAGUUUCCUACAUUCAUAAGCUCUUAUCAUGAAAGGUGCAUUUUUCAAUUCCUUAUUUCUCAGUGAUCAGUCUCCAUCCAAUAUCAAACUCUUCAGUUGUUAGCAUAUGGUUCACCACUUUAUGAAAAUCAUCAGGAAAGGGUAGAUAUUUUUUGUAAACCUGUGCCAUAAGUUCUUGAGCCGAGUGAAAAACGUGACAUCUGCAGCUUGUUUUGGAGAACACUUAAGUUAUUGCAUUAGUCAUUGCUCUUGCUUGAGCAGCAAAUAAUUUUCUAUAUCAUUAGAAUGAUUAUAUUAUUGCAUACAAAUAGAAAUAAAUUAACAUUAUUUUUCUUACCAGUUAGAAUUGUAACAGGUGGCUUUCCUCCCAUCAUUGCUAUAAACUUUGAGAAUGCCUACUAAAUAUUUUCCUCUUUUUCACUCAACGGGACACUAGCAAAUAUAACACUAUCAAAGUGGUUGCUGACACCGAUAAACAUUCCAAAAGGCAUCAUGUAUACAUUUGUGUCAUACGUCGUGUCAAAUUUAGUUGCAUCACCAAAAUAUUGAUAUAAAUCCUUGUUUCUACAACAAGUCCACAUCAGGGACUUCGGUGUAUUACCAUCAUCAACCUAGGCAGUGAACGCAAAUCUAUCAUCCUUUGCUAGCAUAUCUCUGAAUUUCUACAUAAGUUUGGUAGAUUUUCAAUUGCAAUAUUUGAAUAUACUGUCGCAACAGAUAAAUAUUCUCCUCUUUUUAACUCAACAGAUUUUCAGUUGCAAUAUUUGAACAUAAUGUUCGAAGCUUCCGUUUACUAAAAGGAACACUGUCCGUUGAUCCAUACAACCCACUAAUUAUUGAAUUGACACGGCCAACUGGAACAUUAUUAUCUCUCAAGUGUCUUAUUAGCUCGUUAGUUGGCUUGUCAAUAUGCUGAUGUGAAUGCAAAUGCUUCUUCUUAGCACAACUUUCCACCAAUGGAUGAUUGUGUUCUUUCGUCAAUGCAGUGAUGUACCAUUCUGCUUUGUCAUUUAUGUGUAUUCUCAAUCUAGCUUGGCACCCACAUCUUGUUGUAGAAAACUUUGUAUUCUUGUUUUUUUUUCUCUAAAAUCAUAUAAAACGUCAUUUUUAAAAUAAUAAACUACACAAGAUUAAGAAGAUUAUUAUGUAUUAUAAUAUUACUACUACUACUGCUAGUUGACAAUUAAAUUCUUGCAUCAUGCGUACACCUUUGACAAUGUCAUAUACGUCUCCAAAUCUUAUGCUAAAUCCAAGCACCCAAGAGUAAGAAUUUUAGAAUCCGAAUGAUUGAGCAACUGAUUCAAAUUUUAUGCCAAAUUGAUGUUUAAAUAUUGGUACCGACUUGUCAGCGCAAUAAUCCCCCAUUCCAAUUUUCAGAGCAUCAAAGUUUAGUUUCCCUAAGACAAAAUAUGCAAUAUUAUUAUAAUAUAAUUGACAAAAAUUAAUUAAACCAUGUUUCAUAAUACUUUUUUAACAGAUACUACAAUCAUUUGUUGCACAAUUUUCUUCCUUUUCAUCUAGGUUUGCUUGGUCGAUAUUAGUGAUUUCACCAUAGGAAUGUUCUUCUAUUACAGUUGAAUGCACCUUUGUUGAUAGUCACAAUAUUGCCUAGAAUGAACUCUGUCAACCAUAUAGUUAACUUAUAAGACAAAACAUUUCUUUUGAUAAAGAUGCAGAGUUAAAACUUCUAAUAUUAGAAUACUAACCUUAAGUUUGGUAGAGAUAUAGCAUCAUCAUCAUCUGAUAAAUUGCAUCCUUGUUUAAGGCUUGUAGUAUCAUUGAUCGAUGAUUUCAUAUUUACAUGACAUGAAAAUUAUAAUGAUCAUAUACAUGUCAAUUACAUAAAUAGUAAUUGAUAGAACACACAAAAAUUAUUUCUACUUUUCCUUGGUUCAAUGUAUAUUUGAGGCCUUUCAAGAAAGGUCAGUAGAUCCAUAAAGGUUCCCCUCUUAAUAUUUCAUCGUCCAUCUGAUAAGUUCAUACGACAUCAAUAAGUAGUGAAAUGCUAAACAAAUAUAUUUAACAAAAUGUAUUGUAAUUUCAUAAAAAUGUACUGGCAACCAGACUACACUUAAAGCCAUAAUCAAACAUUCCAAUACAGUUCACAUAACAAUAUUUCAUAUGGUAAUCAAAAUUAUAACACUUGUGACUUUUUCCCAACUAAAAUGAAACUGAAUAUGAAUAAUAUGUAAUUUAUGAACCAUAAAAGCAAAUUUGUUCAACUAAUUAUCUCUUAAAGUUCAUCAUAUGCAUUUUUGUUAAGAUUAAUUAUUCAAAAAGAUAAAAAUUAAUUUGUUAAAUCACACAUAGAUCCAUUAAACGCGUUUUUAGGUAGAUUCUUCUUAAGAAGGAGUCUAGGAAAUUAGAUACUUUAGAUGGAAGAACAUAGAUGGAAAAAAAAGCGUCAAUACUUUCUGUUCAUCUGCACUUGGUUCAACCUAAACAACCCCAAAAAAACAACCGUCAACAAAUUACUAAUAUAUAGAAACAACCGAACCCUAGAAUGACGAAAACAAUGGCAAGCAAGAAAGAGAUAAAAAAAAUUGAGAAGAUCUUGCAACUAUCCAAACGUAGAAGACCACCGAUGUAUGUUUGAGCUGCCAAUGUGGAAAAAUCAGAAGAUAAAGCAGAGAUCUAACCUUAAGACUUAAGAGGCGCUCCAAUGGCGACAAACAGAACAACGGGGGGAGAAGAGCGAGAGAGUGGCUAUGAACAGAACAUCUGGCAAGGAGAUAUAUUCGUUUUUAUCAGACUGGACGGUUCGGAAGUGACAUGUGUAUCAGGUAUUUGUAUUCCGCUCAAAACUUUGCUGGGUAUAUCUACUCCUAGUUCAAUAACUCUCUUUACUUCGCUUAUAUGCACAGAAGCAGCAUGCAUCUUGGGCCAGUUGCGAACGGUGGAUCCUUUACCUGUACAUACAUGCUCCGCUAGAAAAUGUGAAAACAUGGCUAGCUGAUCGCUCCAUGACAUACUAGAGCACGUAGCCUAGGUAGUAAUACAUAGUACCAAAUUAAUUAAAUUAAACUAAAUGCAUCUUUGAUUCGCAAAAUAAAAUAAAAUAAAAUGCAUCUUCAACCAAACAACAGCCCACCAAUCAUUGUGUCCUCUUGUACAUUCAGGUUACACACCUAGCAUAUGCCAUCAUAAUUCACACUGCCUGUCUACCCAAUGCCAGUGCCCCACCAAAAGAAGAAUGUGAGUGACCUUGUAUUUGACUACCAGCGCCACAAUUCAUCUAAUGAUCAUACCAUGUGAAAUUUUAAUACUAUGCAUCAGUAAUUUACUCCCUCCGUUCCUAAAAUAUUUGUCUUUUUAGAGAUUUCAAAUGAACUACCACAUACGGAUGUAUAUAGACAUAUUUUAUAGUGUAGAUUCACUCAUUUUGCUCCAUACGUAGUCACUUGUUGAAAUCUCUAGAAGACAAAUAUUUGGGAACGGAGGGAGUAUUUCCAAACCAACCAACAACUACGGACGCAGUUCCUCUGACGUACGGCGCACUCGCUGACGUGUGGACCCGGACCCACGCGUCAGUGGCCCAACGUCAGGUGGCCGUACGUCAGGGGAUCCGGCUCCACAGCAAUCAUACUCUUUCCACCAUUUUCUUCUGCAGGUUCUGCAUGGAUACAUGUCAUCACAAUACCUAAGUGCUCACAAGACGAUACCUAGUACGCAUUACACUAGCUUAUACAUACAUACCACCACCUUAUAUUUUCUACUGUACUUACCAUCAUGUCACCAGCUUAACGACUACCAUCAUGUCAGCAGAGGAAUUGCGAGGCAGCAACCAAUCUUGAGGACUCAACACUUUACUACUUCAUGGACUCCGCGCUCUAGAAUUAAGACUCGGCUAAUCUCUCUCUACCCAGGCUGG